rnacentral:lncRNA from 1 species
UCAAGAAAAAUUUGCAUUGAGCCGAAGAGUCCAAUGUCAUAAUCAUGCAUCUAUGAAGUGCAAGAGUAGAGAACAACACACGAUCCCCAUUACAGUAUUGUUGCUUGCACUUAUAGGCUCCAUCAAUCAGUACCUUCAAAUCCAUAUAUAAUGAGAUGGAAGAAGGAACUUAAAUUUAUUAUUGUAAUUUUCAACUUUUAAAAUGAUAAAGUAAGUCGCGGCUGGUUCAUUGAAAUUUAAGACAUUCAAAAUGAAGUGCAAGAGCAAAAUAAAAGUUAAGAGCUUUACCUUCAGCAUAACAAGGAGUCUGCUGUAUCAGGCCGACUUUAUCUGCCUCUAUAGACCACCACCUCUUCAUCAUCAGCCUUCCCAAUAACACUUUCUGCUGUUUCUUCAUUUGAUUCUUCGACCACUACAGCUUCACCUUCAACAUCCUCGGUAGGCUCUGAUGGUGUCAUAAUUGUUGUGCUGGUGGUCAGGGGGACAGCUUCAUUAUUUUUCCUAGAUCCAUUUGUCAAACUUCACGACAGCAGAGUGAAUACCAACUUGACAAACUUCACACCAGAAUUCGAAAUUCUCUCUAAGAGGAAGUUUUCUCUUCAUCGUCUCUCCAGUCGGUAUUCCAUUUGUCAUCUUCUGAGUGUUUGCAUUCAAGUCCUUCUUCUUUAGCAGCUCCUUAUUUUUGUUCUCUGAAUCUUCUUCACUCUCCACUUUCUGGUCUAAACCAACAACAGUUUUAAUAGCUUUAACUGAUUCCUCUUCUACUUUAGCUUUCAUUUUUUGCCCAGCACUUUCUGGUCUUAACCCACUUUCUGGUCUACUUGUCUUUCCAGAAUCUUUUGAUGUCGAUGAAGAUGAGGUAGUGCACAUCUUCUGAGCUCCAAUUAGGUCCGCUUCCUCCGCCUUGUGCUUCUCACCUUGAAGAUGCUCAUCUUGACCGCCCUCCACUUUCUGGUCUAAAUCAACGAUAUUUUUAUUCGGUGUAACUGAUUCCUCUUCUAGAGUAGCCUUAAUUUCCUGGCCAGCACUAUCUCUGCUUUCAGUAGAGUUUUUUGAAGUGGAGUUACUGCACAUCUUCUCAUCUCCAAGUAGUCCUUCUUCCUGGCCUUGUGCUUCUUGCCGUGAAGAUGCUCAUCUAGAUCUCUUGUUAGAGUGCAAUUUAUGCACUAAUUUUGCAUUGUUUACUUCUCUUAAUAUCGAUGUUUUGCACUAAAUAAUAAUGAUUUACUUGUGUUUUACUUUUGUAGGUGCAAUUCUAUUGAUUUGUGAUAAAAUUGAGCUAUAAGAUGAUGUUUAAAGAUGAUUGUUCUCUUGGAGAAAUUAUGAGCGGCAGAAGAACUUUGUUGAUAAGGCGUGGGCGCGUGCUGUCAACUACGGACCUGCAGUUUUUAGUUUAACGUGUUUUGUAUUUUUGGUUAUUUUUGUAAUUACGAAUUUAAUAUUUCAAAUAUUAGUAUUUUAUUUUAAAUAGAAUUCUAGAGAAGAAGAGAGAGAGAGUAUUUAAGGGAGGAAUCUAUUGUGAAAAAGGCAGAUUUGGAUUGGAGAAAAAGAAAGAAACCCUAGAUCUUAAUUUUUCUCUUCUCUCUAUGAAGAACUAAACCUAUUUUUUUGGUUGAAGGAUAAUGAAGCUUUGAUUCAUCACUACUGUGAGAUCUUUCUUGUGCUUUAAUUGUUUUAUUGCUUUUUGGGUAUUUAUUUAUUCUCUGAAUUAUUUUCAUGAUUAUGUUUGUUAAUUAGGUAAUUGGCCACUAUUUAAUUAUCAACUUAAUUUAUUGUCAAUUAAAGGAUUCAUCGUAUGAAGAAUUUAAUGUUUGUGACAAAUAACAUAGCAGAGAGUUGUGUUGUGAGAAUAAACAAUCUAAUUUAAAUGAAUCAUCAUAUGUGUUGAUUAGGAUUUGGGUCUCUCUGAUUUUUCAGGCUGUCAAUUGAUUAAAUCCUAUGAUCGUAUCUAGGGUUGUCUAUUGAUUAGGGAAAUAACCAACGGUCGUACCUUGGUUAUCGACUAGUUAAGGAGAGAUUUGCUAUUAGAGGGUCUCAGUAGCUAUAACCGGUCUAUUCAUAAGUAAUAAUAAUCUAUAUUUGAAUCAAUGAUCAGUAGUCGAAUCAAGCUGAGUUAAUUCCUUCAACCAGAGCUUUCUCCAAUUUGAAUCACAACUUUAAUUUACAUUCUCGUUAUUUUAAUUUGAUUUUUAUUAUUGUCAACAAUUCUCCCAUUUUACGUUUUAUGUUUCAAAAGGAUUUAAAUAAUUACCGAUCUCUGUGGACACGACCUUGCUCAAUCACUAUACACAAUUUAUUUAGAGUAGGAAUUUAUUUUUGUUGGCUUCGACACCCAUCAAAUUUUGGCGCCGUUGCCGGGGAUUGGUGUCAUUUAUUUAAUUAUUUUUACGUUUUACUUGGUGUAUGGUUCGUUCUUCUCGUACAGGUACACUUUCGUUUGAUCCUGAAAUUGAGAAGACAGCUCGCCAGCUGAGACAGCAGACAAAGCGAGCUAAGCAACGAUCCUCGUCGCCUUUGCUUUCUGAAACAGAUACGGUGCCUGAUUUAGUUGAAUCAUCUAGCGAUUCAGAAGAACAAGUGAUGGAUAGAGCUGCACCUGUAGAAAGAACUCUUAGAGAGUUAGCUGAACCAGACUUGAAUCAACAACCACUCUGCAUUCAAUAUGUAGACUUGGAGGUAAAUUUUGAAUUAAAGUCUGGUCUUAUUCAUUUAUUACCCAAGUUUCAUGGUUUUGCAGGUGAAGAUCCUCAUAAACAUCUUAAGGAGUUUCAUGUUGUGUGUUCAAGUAUGAGACCACAAGGCGUGACUGAAAAGCAGAUUAAGCUGCGUGCUUUUCCGUUCUCUGUAGAUGGGCUAGCUAAAGACUGGUUGUAUUACUUGCCUCCUGGAUCGAUUACAACGUGGAAUGAUUUGAAGAAGCAGUUCCUCGAGAAGUACUUUCCUGCUUCAAGAGCUGCCAACAUAAAAAAAGACAUUUGUGGGAUUAGACAACUUCCUGGGGAGACUUUGUAUGAGUAUUGGGAGCGAUUCAAACAAUUGUGUGCCAGCUGUCCUCAGCAUCAGAUUUCUGAUCAACUUCUUAUUCAAUAUUUUUACGAAGGACUAUCAUUGAUGGAUAGAAGUAUGAUAGAUGUUGCUAGUGGAGGCGUGUUGGUGAACAAGACUCCUACUCAAGCAAGGGAGUUGAUAUCAAAUAUGGCUGCCAACGCACAACAAUUUGGCAGCAGGCAAGAUCCCACUUCAAGGAAGGUGAAUGAGGUAAAUAUUUCUUCUGUUGAACAACGUUUAGAUAAACUCACUUCUCUUGUGGAAAAGUUUGUUGUAGGUAAUGUGCAACAGGUGAAGACUUGUGGUAUUUGUUACAAUAUGGGUCAUUCAACUGAUAUGUGUCCUACACUUCAAGAAGAACCCGUUGAACAAGCCAAUGCAGUUGGAGGAUUUCCAGGCAUGCCUCAGAGGAGGUAUGAUCCUUAUGCACAAACAUACAAUCCGGGAUGGAAAGAUCAUCCCAACUUCAGCUAUGGAGUUAGGCCGUCAGGAUUCCCACAACAGUAUCCACCAAGACAACCAGCACCUCCACAGUCAACCUCCAAGUCAGGUAUAUCUCUUGAAGAAAUUGUUAAAUCGCUUGCGACUAACACUCAACAAUUUCAGCAGGCAACUACAACAAGCAUUCAGAACUUGGAGAACCAAAUGAGUCAAUUGGCGACUACAGUGAGCCGUCUAGAGUCUCAAGUAUUAGGGAGAUUGCCUUCACAAUCUGAGGUGAAUCCAAAGCAAAACGUUAGUGCUGUCAUCCUUAGAAGUGGGAAGGAGUUGCAAGAGCCUAGUAAGAAAGUGACAGAGCAUGUAGAAGAUGAGCUUGAGAAGAAUGAAUUGAUGCCUCAAUCUCAAGAUGCACAACCCACCAGAGCGAAACCCCUACCUAUUGUGAUACCUCCUCCUUUUCCAAGCCGGUUUGCAAAAUCCAAGAAGGAGGAACAAGAUAAAGACAUCAUUGAGACAUGUCGCAAGGUUGAGGUAAAUAUCCCUUUAUUAGAUGCUAUAAAAUAAAUACCUCGAUAUGCUAAAGUCCUUAAGGAACUAUGCACCUCUAAGAGAAAAUUAAGAGGAGAUGAAAAAGUUCAUAUGGGGGAGAAUGUUUCAGCAGUUCUCCAAAAGAAACUACCUCCUAAGUGCAAGGAUCCAGGUAUGUUUACUAUCCCUUGCAAAAUUGGUAAUGUCAAAGUUGAAAAGGCUAUGUUAGAUCUAGGAGCUUCUAUUAAUGUCAUGCCUCGUUCCAUUUAUUCAUCUUUGAAUGUUGGUCCAUUAAAAGAAACUGACGUGAUAAUUCAACUAGCCGAUAUGUCUAAUGCAUAUCCUGAUGGGGUAUUAGAAGAUGUCCUAGUACAAGUUAAUGAGUUGGUUUUUCCUACUGAUUUUUAUGUACUUGAUAUGGAAGAGGAUAACUUCUCUAAUUCUGUCCCAAUUUUGCUAGGAAGACCUUUUCUUAAGACUGCUAGGACUAAAAUGGAUGUACAUAAAGGGACUCUCACUAUGGAAUUUGAUGGAGAGGUUAUAGAAUUCAAUAUGAAUGAUGCCAUGAAAUAUCCUAGUGAGGAACAUUCGGUAUUUUCUGUGGAUGUUAUUAACCCUAUACCGCAGGAAGUUUUUUUCAAGGAAAAGACGAAGACAUUUCAUGAUAGAAUGAUUUUGAGAAAGGAGUUCUCUGUUGGUCAAAAAGUUCUUCUUUUUCAUUCUAAGCUUAAACUUUUUCCAAGUAAAUUACGUUCUUGCUGGGUUGGACCUUUUAUUGUUACUAAUGUUUUUCCUCAUGGUGCAGUUGAGAUUCGGAGUCCGACCUCUGACAAAGUUUUUGAAGUUAACGGUCAUCGUUUAAAACCUUUUUAUGAAGGUUUUUUGGUGAAUAUUGUGGAGGAAAUGGCUCUCGAGGGUCCUAUUUAUGGAGAUUGAUGCAUAAAUGUGUCUAGCCAAAGACAUAAAACAAAGACGCUUUUUGGGAGGCAACCCAAAUGAUUUGUUUAUUUUGGUUUUUGUUUUAUCGUCUUUUAGUUUUGAUUCAAAUUUAAAAAAAAAAAAAAAUUUUUGUGUUUGCUUAUUUUGGUCAGAAGUAAAAUAGUUUUAAGACGUGCCCACGUGCUUAUUAAAAAAGUACUUCUGAAAUUUUUGGUGUCUCAAAGUGAUUCAUCACUAAAAAAAUAAAAAAAUUAAUAAUUUACUGUUCACAAAAUUCCUAAUUUUCCAGAUCUUGUUUUCUUCUCCAGCCGCUUGCAGCACACCAGCAGCAAACCAGCCUGCCGGAAAACGCACCACCCCGCGCGCGCAGCACCAGCAUCCCGUGUCUCGCAAGUCCAACCAGCGCACAACGCAAGCCCCAGCAGCGCGCAACGUAAGCCCCAGCUGCGCGCGCAGCGCGAACCAGCCCCAGCCCGAGCACGCAACCCAACAAGCGUCACCAGCGCAGCACCAGCAAUCCCCCAGUGCACAGCAACAGCCGCAGUACGCAGAUCCAGCAUCACCAGUUCGCAGCAUCAGUCCCAGCCCGCACGCGCAACACAACCAGCACCAACCCGCGCAGCACAACCAUCCGCGCGCAACUGAACCAACAGCCGUGUACCCGCAAGCUCCAGUCGAGCAGCAAUAGUCCGCAACCAGCCUACGACCUGCAUUCCAGCCGCGUGAAUCGAAAUCCGUGACAAGAUGGAGCAGAAUUUGGCCGCAUACUUCAAGAGUGUGGGAUUUAUCCCACCAUUCCCGCCAAGCCCAUAGACGUUAUGAGGAUCAAAGUUCACAAUUCAGGGAAGUUUUUGCCUUUAAUCUUUUAUCCUUACGCUUUAAUUUUUAUGUGAGCUUUAAUUAUCUUACAUUGGGGACAAUGUAAGUUCUUGGUGUGGGGGAGGGAUUUUUGCAUUAUUGAUGUCUGGAAUUAUUAUUUUCACUCUACUCAUCCUUAAAUGAUUUUGGAGUUAGUAUGCUUCAUAUAUUAUUAUUUUUCUUUUCUUUUCUUUCUCAUCACUCACAUUUUAUCUUUCACUUUUCAUAUUACUACAUACAUCUUUCUCACUUCUUAUCAUUUUUACCUUUUCUUCACUCAUACCUUCUUCUCAUUCUACACCACUAUUGAUGGUUGAUUCAUUUGAAGAGUGUACAUGAUUUGAUGGCAAAUUUACCAACUUUGUGAGGAUUUGAGCCUAUGAGCAACCACUUUGCUCUAAUUAUUUUUAUUAUGUGAAUAUCAAUCUUAGUUUGUUUAUUCUAGAACUUGCUUUGUUAUGCAUGUUGAAGCCACAUUACGGAAUUUUUUGCAUUAAAAUGAUAAGGGUAAACCAUUUACCAUUUUUCUAUUCUCGCAUUUUUUUUUUCUCUACCUGAAGACCUUGAUUUACUAUCUUUGUUUGAGCUUUAACCAUUACCCAUCUAAUUCUCUCCAUCUACUUAACCAUUUUUCUUCUUUUUGAGCCUCAAUUUUAAGGAGAUUUUUGGACUCAUUGUGUUGAUAUAUUUUGUUGCUUUUUCUACCUUGUAUUAAAGUUUCUCAAUUAGAUCAACAAGCAUUAUGCUUGAAUUAAAUUGUGCAAGGUUCGUUUCUUUUGUUUGAUUAAAAAAAAAAACAACAACAAAAAGAAAAAAAAAAAGAAAAAGAAAAAUCGAAAAAAAAGAAAAAAAAAAAGAGAAAAAGAAAAAUCGAAAAAAAAGAAAAAAAGAAAAAUCGAAAAAAAAGAAAAAAAAAGAAAAAAAAAAGUUUACAUUCUUGGUGACUUGAGUAGAAAUAAGCAUUUUGAUAUUAUAAAUUCAUUCAAUGAGUUCAUUCUUCUCAUUUUGAUCUCUUUUUCUCUUUCAUAGACCUUUCUUUUUCAUUUAACCUAUUUAACCCCAUUACAACCCUUUUAAGACCCUUAGAUUUUUGCAUUUUCUUCAUGUUUUGUGGAUUGAGAUGUGAUAUAUGAGCAAGCUUAUGGUAAUAGCAUUCUUUGAUUUGAUUUGAGUGAAUACAUGACACCCUAAACACUUUGAGUGCAUAGAGUGAAGUUAUUGAGACUAUUAAAUUUUGUUGCACUUGAAUUUUGAAUGGAUCUUCUUGGUGGUUGAAUGUUCUUAUUCUAUCUUAUGAAAUUCUUUGCUCUAAAAUCCUUGUCUCUCGAAUGUUGAUCGACUUAAUUUCUUGAUGUAUGCUUGCUUAAAAUUAUUUUUGGAUGAGUUGAGAUGAAAAUUGAGUGGAGAUUUGGGAUUAGUCUUGAGUUAUAUGCUUGAGGACAAGCAUCAUCUUGGUGUGGGGGAUUUUGUUAGAGUGCAAUUUAUGCACUAAUUUUGCAUUGUUUACUUCUUUUAAUAUCGAUGUUUUGCACUUAAUAAUAAUGAUUUACUUGUGUUUUACUUUUGUAGGUGCAAUUCUAUUGAUUUGUGAUAAAAUUGAGCUAUAAGAUGAUGUUUAAAGAUGAUUGUUCUCUUGGAGAAAUUAUGAGCGGCAGAAGAACUUUGUUGAUAAGGCGUGGGCGCGUGCUGUCAACUACGGACCUGCAGUUUUUAGUUUAACGUGUUUUGUAUUUUUGGUUAUUUUUGUAAUUACGAAUUUAAUAUUUCAAAUAUUAGUAUUUUAUUUUAAAUAGAAUUCUAGAGAAGAAGAGAGAGAUAGUAUUUAAGGGAGGAAUCUAUUGUGAAAAAGGCAGAUUUGGAUUGGAGAAAAAGAAAGAAACCCUAGAUCUUAAUUUUUCUCUUCUCUCUAUGAAGAACUAAACCUAUUUUUUUGGUUGAAGGAUAAUGAAGCUUUGAUUCAUCACUACUGUGAGAUCUUUCUUGUGCUUAAUUGUUUUAUUGCUUUUUGGGUAUUUGUUUAUUCUCUGAAUUAUUUUCAUGAUUAUGUUUGUUAAUUAGGUAAUUGGCCACUAUUUAAUUAUAAACUUAAUCUAUUGUCAAUUAAAGGAUUCAUCGUAUGAAGAAUUUAAUGUUUGUGACAAAUAACAUAGCAGAGAGUUGUGUUGUGAGAAUAAACAAUCUAAUUUAAAUGAAUCAUCAUAUGUGUUGAUUAGGAUUUGGGUCUCUCUGGUUUUUCAGGCUGUCAAUUGAUUAAAUCCUAUGAUCGUAUCUAGGGUUGUCUAUUGAUUAGGGAAAUAACUAACGGUUGUACCUUGGUUAUCGACUAGUUAAGGAGAGAUUGGCUAUUAGAGGGUCUCAGUAGCUAUAACCGGUCUAUUCAUAAGUAAUAAUAAUCUAUAUUUGAAUCAAUGAUCAGUAGUUGAAUCAAGCUGAGUUAAUUCCUUCAACCAGAGCUUUUUCCAAUUUGAAUCACAACUUUAAUUUACAUUCUCGUUAUUUUAAUUUGAUUUUUAUUAUUGUCAACAAUUCCCCCAUUUUACGUUUUACGUUUCAAAAGGAUUUAAAUAAUUACCGAUCUCUGUGGACACGACCCUGCUCAAUCACUAUACACAAUUUAUUUAGAGUAGGAAUUUAUUUUUGUUGGCUUCGACACCCAUCAUCUCUCUUGCUAGUGGUACUGACCUGACAGAGGCAACAACUCCAAUCCAUGGGUUUCUUUGAACUCGUCAACAGGAGCUAUCCAGAACCUGCUGGUAGUGUGGCAGCUUCCUGCUUUGAUCCACAAAGAUUGGGAUAGGGCUUAACCUGCUGGGCUUGACAACCCUCCUCUUUCUGGUCUAAACCAACAACAGUUCUAUUAGCUUUAACUUAUUCCUCUGCUGCUUUAUUCUUCAUUUCUUGGCCAGCACUAUCUCUGCUUUCUGUAGAUUUUUUUAUCCACUUCUGAGCUCCAAGUAGUUCUUCGUCCUUGGCCUUCUGCUUCUUACCUUGAGGAUGCUUAUCUACACCAACCUCCCCUUUCUGGUCUAGGCCAAUAACAGUUUUUUAGCUUUAACUGAUUCCUCUUGUACUUUAGUGUUCAUUUCUUGGCCAACACCAUCUCUGCUUUCAGUAUAUUUUUCUGACGUGGAUGAAGUGGAGUUACUGCACAUUUUCUUAUCUCUAAGUAGUCCUGAAACCUUGGCCUUAUGCUUCCUACCUUGAAGAUGCUCAUCUAGACCUCUCUUGGUAGUAGCACUGACCCGACAGAGGGCACAACUCCACUCCUUGGGUUUGUUAGAAUUCGUCGAAGGAAGCUCUCCAAAACCUGCAGGUGGUGCGGUAGCUUUCUGAUUUGAUCGACAAAGAUUGGAAUUGGGCUUAACCUGCAGGGUUUGACCUUCCUCCACUUUCUGGUCUAAACCAACAACAGUUUUAUUACCUUUAAGUGAUUCCUUUUCUACAUUAGACUUCAUUUCUUGGUCAGUACUAUCUCUGCUUUCCGUAUAUUUUUUUGAAGUGGAGUUAAUGCACAUCUUCAAAUCUCUAAGUAGUUUUUCCUUGGCCUUGUGCUUCUUACCUUGGAGAUGCAGGUCUAGAUCUCUCUCGGUAGUAGCAUUGACCUGACAGAGGGCACAACUCUACUCCUUGGGUUUGUUUGAACCCGCUGAAGGAAGCUCUCCAGUACCUGCAAGUGGAGUGGCAGCUUUCUACUUUGAUCCACAGGUAUUGGAAUCAGGCUGAGGCUGGAAAUGAUACAGAAACCAUUAUGCCUUAUAUUAGUUAUCACAUCAAUGGUAAAAAUGAAAAAAAUUCCCAGUGAGCUCCAUCAUUUGCUAUUGUAGUACAGAUGAAAGAAUUUGUUUACAAAAUCGUUAAUACAACCAGAAUCCUUGUUAAUUAACAACAUUUCCAGCACUGAACUAGGAAAAUCUUUCCUUCCAAAAAACAGAAAAAAAAGGAUUAUGUUUGAAUAGGAUUCUGAAAGACUUUCUUAAUAAUCUGGACUAGAAGAGAUGACAUUAACACUUACGAGCAUUAUAAUUCAUAAUUUGAGGAAACACCAUUUCAAUGGAGCCUCCAGCCCAACGCACAUACACAAAGACAAGCAAUAAAAUUUAAAAUAAGAAAUUACCAGGAAAAAGAAACAUCAGAAAUCAAUCUGUACAAGUUCAUAUGACACUUCAUGGUAAACAUAUGUAACCUCUCUUGGAACCUUAGCUUGCGAGAAGCCACAUUUGCUCCGGGUUUUCGUUCAAAAAAGGUUUCAGACACACAUUGAUUCCAGGCUGUGGGGGAUCAUAUGUCCUCACAGCCAAAUUUUAAAGCCACAUACAUUGGCAUUUGCACGCAUAGUCAAGAGUUGCGCAACUCUCUCGUCUACUUGAGUUGACCACGCAAACUGAACUUGCGAACUUUGACCAACAUAAAUAACCAAAUGCUAUGAUGUUUGGAACUAAAUCAAGAUAGUGAGUCCAAAUGUACUCCCCAACAAACUUGUCACCUGGGCAUCAAGACCAAGUCUUUUGGCACUAAGAGUGGACAUGGGAAUCUCUAAGCAACGACCUCCUAAUAACAUACAAAUCCAGGUUACUGAUAAUGCUCAUCGAUUUAAAGGCUUACAAGUUUACAAAGAAGUAAGUAAAGAAUUUGAUAAUAAUUGAAACAGAGUUCGAACGGAUCAAUAAUAAUAAAGAUAAAUUUAAUCUAUAAUAUCAACUAAAAAGUUGUGAUAUAUAUAUUUUUUUCUAAUUUGAUUUUUUGUGCAGCAUCAGUUCUGUGGAAAAUCGGUGCCUUUUGUAUCAAGUAAAGAUGCCCUACAGAAUGCAACUCUUCGUGGAUAUUUCAACUCUGCUCAAGCCUUUGGCUGAUUAUGCGGAGAUUCUCUUACACAUCAAGAAAAAUUUAUCGGCCGAAAUGUCUCCCAUUAUCGUUGUCGGAGCAUCUUAUGGAGGAUCUUUUGAUUGACAUCAUGUCAUCUGUCACCUUAUUUUAAAUAUUUGACUAAAAUCUGGAUUACGCCUCAAUUAUUAUGAUACAAUUUUAUUUUAUAUUCCUACUAACAGAUACUCUUUGAGAGUUACUCGUGUGGGUUUGUUAUUGUUAUCAUCAGUGCUCGCUGCAUGGUUUCGCUUGAAGUAUCCUCAUAUUGCUUUAGGAGCAGUUGCCUCUUCAGCCCCAAUUCUCUACUUUGAUAAUAUCACACCAUCGAACGCAUAUUAUGAUCUUGUCAGCAAGGAUUUUAGGGUAAGAAAAUAAUAUUAAUUAAUUAAAAUUCUAUAUAUGUAUGAUUAUAUUUUCUUGUUAAAAUUUGACUAUUGAAUUUUGAAUACUAAUGAUGCAGGAAGCUAGUGAGAGUUGCUACAAGACCAUCAAACAGUCCUGGGCUGAAAUCGAUGAAGCCGCUGCUGGAAAAAAAUGGACUUACUGUUCUCUCUUAAAAGUUCAAAACCUGCAAGUAAUUGAAUCAUAUUACUUUUAUAACUGCCGAUAUAUAUCCAUCUGAUUUUCCUUUAAUUACAGUGCAAUGUUAUUGUAGUAUCAUUACAUAACUGUCUAUAUAUAUCCAAUUAAUGAUCUGUCAUCCUCAAGGUAUAUUUACAUUUCAGUUAAUGUGUAAUAUACGUACAUAGUAAAAUCUGGCAUUUUAUUUAAUAAGUUGCUUAUAAAAAACAAUCUCAUACUUAUUUUAAGAGUUAUUGUCAAAAUGGAGAAAAUAUGAAUUAAACUUUUAACAAAUUUAUCAAACAUCAUUUUUAUCAAAACUUAUAAAAUAAACUACUUAUAGUAUUUCAACCAUAAUUCCAAAUAGGACAUUAGGCUUUGUGCAGAAUAAAGUUAGGCAUUGAAUAUUUGUACACGUAUAAACUAAAUAUCUAGAUUCUAGACUGAAGAAACAACUUGACUUUCAUUCUUUGUUUUCCACAGCAUAUGUCAAGACGUAAGUUCCAAAUAAUUGCUGACUAGGGGAAGCAGUCUUUAAAGUCAAGGUGAUUAGAUUAGCAUGUUUCGGCAUUACGUAUCGGAGGGGUUCCCUGCCCUCAAUGUAAAAAGAUGCCUUAAAAUUAAAUAUUUAAAUAAUAUGGUUGAUGGUUGUCGAAGCCAACAAAAAUAAAUUCCUACUCUAAAUAAAUUGUGUAUAGUGAUUGAGCAGGGUCGUGUCCACAGAGAUCGGUAAUUAUUUAAAUCCUUUUGAAACGUAAAACGUAAAAUGGGGGAAUUGUUGACAAUAAUAAAAAUCAAAUUAAAAUAACAAGAAUGUAAAUUAAAGUUGCAAUUCAAAUUAGAGAAAGCUCUGGUUGAAGGAAUUAACUCAGCUUGAUUCGACUACUGAUCAUUGAUUCAAAUAUAGAUUAUUAUUACUUAUGAAUAGACCAGUUAUAGCUACUGAGAUCCUCUAAUAGCCAAUCUCUCAUUAACUAGUCGAUAACCAAGGUACGACCGUUGGUUAUUUCCCUAAUCAAUAGACAACCCUAGAUACGAUCGUAGGAUUUAAUCAAUUGACAGCCUGAAAAACCAGAGAGACCCAAAUCCUAAUCAACACAUACGAUGAUUCAUUUAAAUUAGAUUGUUUAUUCUCACAACACAACUCUCUGCUAUGUUAUUUGUCACAAACAUUAAAUUCUUCAUACGAUGAAUCCUUUAAUUGACAAUAGAUUAAGUUGAUAAAUAAAUAGUGGCCAAUUACCUAAUUAACAAACAUAAUCAUGAAAAUAAUUCAGAGAAUAAACAAAUACCCAAAAAGUAAUAAAACAAUUAAAGCAUAAGAAAGAUCUCACAGUAGUGAUGAAUCAAAGCUUCAUUAUCCUUCAACCAGAAAAAUAGGUUUAGUUCUUCAUAGAGAGAAGAGAAAAGUUUAGAUCUAGGGUUUCUUUGUUUUUCUCCAAUCCCCCUUUUUCACAAUAGAUUCCUCUCUUAAAUACUCUCUCUCUCUUCUCCUCUAGAAUUCUAUUUAAAAUAAAAUACUAAUAUCUGAAAUAUUAAAUUCGUAAUUAUAAAAAUAACCAAAAAUACAAAACACGUUAAACUAAAAACUGCAGGUUCGUAGUUGACAGCACGCGCCCACGCCUUAUCAACAAAGUUCUUCUGACGCUCAUAAUUUCUCCAAGAAAACAAUCACCCUUAAAUAUCAUCUUGUAACUCAAUUUUAUCACCAAUCAAUAUAAUUGCACCUACAAAAGUAAAACACAAGUAAAUCAUUAUUAUUAAGUGCAAAACAUCGAUAUUAAGGGAAGUAAACAAUACAAAACUAGUGCAUAAAUUGCACUCUAACAAUGGCAUUCAUUAAAUUUAAAAAUAUGAAAAAUAUAUAAAAUACAUAAAUAAUAUAUAAAAAAAAAACUUUUUUUAAAGUGCGCAGAGGUUUGAACGGCAACUAUAGGAUCGUAUCACAUUGAAUUCGUGUACUUAGGACGGGGCACGGAAGAGAGAGCAUUUUGGUUUAUAUUUUACUCAUAUACACGAGUAAUUAUGUACAAACCUUUCAUGCCUUUGCUAUCUUUUUCAUGUGGGACAAAUAUAUUUUCCUUUACUUUUCUAAUUCCAUGAAUUUACUUUGAGUAACAAUUUCUCAUUUAUCUAAGGGUUAUUUUGAUUAUAUAAAUAAAAUCAUUCUGAAGUAUUUAUGGAGGAACAUCUGAAACAACAGAUAAGUCUCACUCCAAAUCACGCAUCAAAUAGUAACUUGUGCUAUAUUUCCAACACUUUUUGCUUCUUUUCCUUGUUUGAUUGCAUGAAAAAAAUUGAGUGCAAUGAAACUUUUAUCUUCUUUUGUCUUUGAUGUUUUGGUGUAAAAAAAAUAAAAUUAAGUGGGAUAUUAGGUAGCCCAUGAAUUUCCAUAUAGUUUGCAUGUUGCAAAAGGAGUUUUGUAACUAUUUUAAAAAAUAAAGAGAUUAUUUUUAUUAUUUUGUCAAAUCACAGAAGUCUACACAUUCUUUUCUCCACCAGCUUAUUUAUAAUAAUACACCUACAAGUUUUUUUUAUACUUAAAUUUAUACAAAGAUAUGAUUAGUCUUGUUUAUUUUUCUAUUUGAGUCAUAUUUUACAACAACAAUCCUUCGAGCUUUUUUUUUCUUUAUUAUUUUGGGUAAUAUUUAAUAUCUUAAUAGCGCUAUUAAUUAUUUCUAAUAUUGUCCAUAUUAUCUCAUGUUUCUGCAAAGUUGUUCAAAUAGAUCUACACCUCACAAAUACAGGCCGAUAAGGUUAUAUCUCCAUGAUUGAAUCCAUCCAGAGAAAGACAUUGACUCACACUAUUUGAAAACGCGUAUUGGAAGUUAACACUGGGAGGUUGCAAAACAAUUAAUUCUUAUAUAAAUGCUUUGCUGAGAAUCAAACAGCUCAAUCAACCGAAAACCAUUAUAAACAUGGCAGCAGCAUCCACUGUUUCGAGAUUGGUGGUCAUUUUAAUUUUAAUAAAUGUUGGUGCUAUAAGUGAUACGACAAUAUCUGUAACGGCAUCAGCUGCAGGAUUAUUGUCGUCACCCAUACUGUUAGAAAGGGAAGCUUUACUUGCUACCGGCUGGUGGGUCAACAAUUGGGCGACGUCGGGCAACUAAACGUCCGAUCAUUGUAAGUGGACUGGCGUCAGUUGCAAUUCAGCGGGAAGCGUAAUCGGGGUCAGCUUACUCUGGUAUGAAAAUGAUAACAUCAACGGAGAGCUCGGUCGUUUCAAAUUCUCUUGCUUUCCCAAUCUCAGAAGUUUCAAAAUUCGUUCAAAUUAUCUUCUCUCUGGGAGCAUUCCAUCUGAAAUUACUGCUCUUUCAACAAUCCGAACUCUUGAACUGACCUCCAACGGCCUUACCGGUAAGCUGUGAAACUUCACCAUAUAUAUAUAUAUGUAUGUAUAAAAUCGCGCUGCUGCUUAAAGCUGGCGUCUGUUUUUACAACACUGAAGAAGUGUGAGUCGUCCGCACUUGAGCUUGACUCUCCCUCUAUGUAAUUUUUUUUAAAGAAGAUAGUGAAUACUGAUCUCGUUUUUCAUAAAUCACAUGCACAACAGGAAUUAUCCCUUUAGAGAUGGGGCGAUUAAGGAAUCUCGUCCACCUGGAUCUAUCUGAUAAUCACCUCAUGGGACAUAUCCCUCCAACUCUCGGUCGUCUAAGCAAAUUGAAAAUUUUGAACUUGUCUUUUAACUCCCUUGUCGGUAAUAUCCCAUCCAAUGUAGGUCAUCUAACCCAGCUAACUACUUUGGCUAUUGCCUCAAACCGAAUGAAUGGUUCCAUCCCAUUAGGAAUCGGGAAUUUGAAGGUUCUUCAAGUUCUUGACCUGUCCAGAAAUGAAAUUGGAGGUUCAAUUCCUUCAACACUUGGCCAUUUAAAGUGGUUGAGAAGUGUAGACUUGUCCCAAAACAAAUUUGUUGGCCCAAUCCCUUCGUCUCUGGGUCAUUUGACACAGCUAAUUACUUUGAAUAUGUACAACAACAAACUUGAUGGCCCAAUUCCUCCAGAACUCAUGAAUUGCUCAAAGCUGAGGAUAUUAAAAUUGGGAAAUAUUAUCUUGAUCUAAGCGGUAACUUCAUUAAUGGUAAAAUACCUUCCCAACUUGGAGAAUUUCCACGCAUAGACACCGUGGACCUUUCCAUGAAUAACCUUUCCGGUGGAAUCCCUGUAUUUGUCAGAAAAGUGCCACACUUAGAUGUGUCAGGCAAUAAAUUCGGAGGAGAAAUCCCAACUACUUUGGCAAAUGCGCCACCGCCACAUCACAAAACGAUUGCCACUCGCUUGGUUGCAAUUAUUCUUGCUAUGGUCGCAUUCCUUGCCUUGAUAUUUGGAAUCUUGAUUAUCCAUAGACGAAGGGAUAAGGAAGUUGAACCAACUGGGACAGGAGAAAUUACCAAGUGCGCUGAUGAGUUUGUAAUUUGGAAUUACGAUGGUAGAAUUACAUUUCAAGACAUGAUUGAAGCCACUGAGGAUUUCGAUAUCAAAUACUGCAUUGGAACCGGAGGCUACAGCAGCGUUUACAGAGCACGGCUGCCCAGUGGAAAAGUGGUUGCUUUGAAGAAGCUUCACCGUUCAAAAACUGAGGAGUUAGCUUCCCUCGAGAGUUUCCGGAAUGAGGCUCGUCUACUGUCCCAAAUACGGCAUCGAAAUAUCGUAAAGCUUUACGGCUUUUGUUUGCACAAGACAUGCAUGUUCUUAAUCUAUGAGUACAUGGAAAUGGGAAGCUUGUUCUGUGUUCUACGCACAGAUGAGGAAGCUGUUGGGUUGGAUUGGACUAAAAGGGUGAACAUUGUGAAGGGUAUGGCUCAUGCUUUGUCAUACUUGCAUCAUCACUGCACACCACCAAUUGUUCACCGGGACAUAUCAAGCAACAACAUUCUACUCAACUCAGAAUUAGAAGCAUUUGUUGCGGACUUUGGCAUUGCUAGAUUGUUAAAUUUUGACUCAUCCAACCGAACUCUUUUAGCUGGCACUUUUGGAUAUAUUGCUCCAGGUCAUCCUCUAGCUAUUCCUCUUAUGCAUCUUUAAUUAUCCUCUUAAUUAAUUUUAUAUAUACUCUGCCAAAUAGUUUUUAAGCAGCUUUAUUUAGGUCACUACUUGGUUCGAAUUUUGAAAAUGCUAAGGGGCUAAAAAUAAAUUUAAACUUUGCCUACCCCUUUUCCUUUUAAAACACACACACUGAACAUAAGUUAAAACAUAAGUUUCUUUGUCAUAACUUGCUGCGGAAGCUAAAAAACAUGAACAAAUUGUUCUUGUUAUUAUUUAUGGAAACGUUACUAAUGAAGGCCUUUGUUUUCCUAUAGAACUUGCCUACACCGUGGUUGUGACAGAGAAAUGUGAUGUUUAUAGCUUUGGAGUGGUGGCACUAGAAGUACUAGUGGGAAGGCAUCCAGAAGCGCUCCUCUCAUCGUCAUCUUCAUCAUUGGAUAAAAAUAUAAAGCUGAUUGAUUUGUUGGACCCACGCCUCCCGGCUCCGGGGGAUCAAAUGAUUACGCAGGAUAUCAUUCUUGUUUCAAUAGUAGCAUUUUCAUGCUUACGUUCUCAACCAAAGUCUCGACCUACAAUGCAACUCGUGUCCAACGAAUUUAUCGCUCGCAAUAUGACACCAAUGCAGAAACCUUUUCAUGAAAUUUCAAUUUUGGAGCUUAGAAACCAAGAAAUGUAUUUGGUUGAAUAAUGUGAUUUUUCCAAUAAAGGAGACUGUUAAUUGGUUGUGAAAUUAUUAGGUAGUAGCAAUGUAGCAAAUAUUAUGUGUUCGACGAAUUGUCUGCCUUAGUAUUUUUUAAUUCCAUUCACACUACGACAUUAAUCUCUUUUGUAAAGCUUGUACUUUCGCAGUUCACUCUGAUAAAAUAAGGUUUGUCUAAUUGUCUCCAUCUCAAUGAUCUGAAUUAACCAGCAUAUUAAGGAAUUUAAGGUUGUGUCUCUACAAGUUAGAAAGGGUAAAUUGUCAUUCUAAUUAUUAGUUUAUUUUACAAAUUAUAUAUAAAAAUUUCAUUCAGAACGAAGUUCGUGAUGUCGCGUUAUUUAAUAUAUUAGUUUUUUCAGUCCUUUGUAAAUAUUCACACAAACAUAUACAAUAAAUUUUUAAUUUAGCCGAUCCGAUCAAACAUCCUGGACCCACCGCUGAUGUCAUUCGAAGGUGAGGAAGCUUCUGCAGAAGUUGUGGUUAGUGAUAUCCUUGCCAGCACAAGAUAAUUAAUUACUGGGAAAGAAAUAAUAAAAAUUUUUAUUAAUUACGAAACUGAUAACUAUAUAUUAGACACACUAUAAUUUUAUGAAAACUGAAGAUCCAUACUAAUAUAAAACUAAAACCAACAUUAAUUAAAUUAUACGAUAACAACAAAUCCAGGAUAUAUUAACAAACACGUCGAUUUUGAAGCUGAAUUUAUAAUCUAAUCUUAACUCUAUUUCUUCUGUAUUUACAUAAUCAUCCUGCUAAUUAAGGAUUUACAACUUUGCCAUGAAAGGUCGGUGGCUUCCAUGCCUUUUUCUUCUUCUCGUCACAAAUUUUGCUUUUGCUUCCACUUCACCAUUAAAGAACAUCCCAAAGCUUGGUGCUGUUCGUGGAAGGACUAUUUUUUAAAACCCUAGCAAAAAAAUCCACAAAGUUACUAUUAUGAUCUCGAAACUUACUAUUAUUAUCAAACACUUGAUCACUUUAACUAUAAUCCACAAAGUUAUUUAACUUUUCCUCAUAGAUAUGCGUUGAACUUCAAGCAUUGGGGCGGUGGCAGAGCCAUGGCGGCGCCGAUAUUGGCAUAUCUUGGUGAAGAGAGUAGUCUUGAUAUGAUGACCUUGGUGACAUUGGAUGGCUUACUAAUAAUGCUCAUCGAUUUAAAGCCUUACAAGUUUACAUAGAGGUAAGUAAAGAAUAUGUUAUCAGGCUAGCUUGAUAAUAAUUGAAAUAGAGUUCACAUACGAAAUAAUAAUAAUAAAGACAAAUCUUAAUCAGAAUAUUCUACAAUAUGAACUGAAAAGUUGUGAUGGAUUUUUUUUUAAUUCAAUUUUUUAUGCAGUAUCGGUUCUAUGGAAAAUCAGUACCUUUUGUAUCAAGCAAAGAUGCCCUAAAGAAUGCAAUUCUUCGUGGAUAUUUCAACUCUGCUCAAGCUUUGGCUGAUUAUGCAGAGAUUCUCUUACACAUCCAGAAAAAUUUAUCGGACGAAAUGUCUCCCAUUAUGGUCGUUGGAGCAUCUUAUGGAGGAAGUAAAUUAUAAUAUUAUUAACUUACUUACAUCUUUUGAUUAAUGUCGUGUCAUCUGUCACAUCAUUUUACUCAUUUAGAUCACGAUUGAUCGAUCAAGAUAUUGACUACGGCAAUAUUACUAUGAUACAAAUUUAUUUAAUAUUGCAACUAACGAUACUCUUGGCGAUCGUAAAAUCAAGAAAUAAUAAAUAUGUUCAAGAUAAUUAUGUAUUUAAAAAUAAUCUUCUCAAUUCAUCCUAUUUUAUCAGAUCUGGGAUGUGAUAUGGUUUCGAGAGUUACUCGUUUGUUGGUUUGUUAUCAACAAUGCUUGCUGCAUGGUUUCGCUUGAAGUAUCUUCACAUUGCUUUGGGAGCAGUUGCCUCAUCCGCCCCAAUUCUCUACUUUGAUAAUAUCACACCGUCAAACGCAUAUUAUGAUCUUGUCACCAAGGACUUUCGGGUAAGAAAUAAAUUAGUUAAUUAAAAUUUUAUAUAAGCAUGAUUAUGUUUUCUUGUUAAAAUUUAGCCAUUGAAUUUUGAAAAUUAAUGAUGCAGGAAGCCAGCGAGAGCUGCUACAAGACCAUCAAACAGUCCUAGGCUGAAAUCGAUAAAGUCGCUGCUGGAAAAAAUGGACUUGCUUUUCUCUCUAUAAAGUUCAAAACCUGCAAGUAAUUAAUCAUAUUACUUUACAUAACUGCUUAUAUUGUAUAUCCAUCCGAUUUUCCCUUAAUUACAAUUAAUGCAAUGUUAUUUUAGCAUCGUUAUCGAAUGUACUAUGUCUAAUUAAUUAUAUGUCAUCCUCAGCGUUUAUAUACAUUUCGAUUAACGUGUAAUAUACAAAGUAAAAAUCUGGAUUUGGGCUUAUUCACGGCCUUUGUGUUACCAUAUAUAGUAUACUGGUGCUUCGAUUCAGACGUCCAUAUUUUGCAGAAUCUAAAUUUAAACUACAAAACCACGCACAACUCUGAUAAUCAAAUGAGGCCAAAUUUGAACGUUUGCAUUUGAGAAUGUCAAUAGCUUCAUACUUAUAGAGUUUAUUGUAAUCUAACUAAAUAUAACAACAUUUUUAAGACAGUAUGUUGAAAGAUCUUUUAUAAAGUUAAUGACCUUGUGGCACUUAAUUCUAUGUUAUUGUUUAUUUGAUUACAGGCCUCUGAAGGAUGUUUCAGAAUUGAAAGAUUAUUUAGAGUAUAUGUAUACGGGUGCAGCUCAGUAUGGUGAUCCUCAGGAAAGCCCAGUGAACAAAGCCUGCAAUGGCAUUGAUGGAGCUUUAGAAGGCACAGAUACCGGAUCUUCUCAGGAAUUGUUGAUUUAAGAGGGGAGGAUUCUUGCCAUGAUGUUGAUGAAUUCUUCUCCGAUGCAACAUUGGACUCCAGCUGGGGCUGACAGGUAUGCAAUUACAAGUGACAUGAUUUCAUUGGAUAGUUCUAUUGAGACGUUAAAUAAACAACAUGUGACAAUGAGAACAAUACCUAUUUUAUGUACAUCUCUUAAUUUUAUUUAUGAGACUUAAUAUUUAUGAAUGAUUAAAAAUAGUUUUCUUCUUUAUCUUAUUUUAUUAUUAUUAUUUUUUAUUAUUGGGGGGUUUCUCAUGCAGACAUGCAGUGAAAUGGUCUCACCAAUUGGAAUUGGCAAAAACGACACAAUGUUUCAAGCAGACCCAUUUAAUCUGACAGAAUAUAUGGAUUCAUGCAAUAAGUAUUAUGGAGUGGUUCCAAGACCACAUUGGAUUACAACUUCUUAAAGUGGUAAUGUAAGUGUCGAUUAAUCCCCAAAUUAAUUCUUCUAAUAUUUUAAGGUUUCUCAUUUUCUGUUUUAAUUAUAAAGUUCACCUCAAUUUUUGUUUGAUUUCUAUUUCUUUUUAAUUUGCAGGAUAUAAGAGUGGUUUUAAAGAGAUUUGGUAGCAACAUUAUUUUCUCUAAUGGCCCUCGUGAUCCCUAUAGUAGCGAAGGGUAAUUAAGCUUAAGAAUUGUGUACACUCUUUUCUAUCGAAGUUACCUGUUUAAUUAUAUACCUUUUUCUGUUUCUUCGUUUUUUUUUUGGGGGGGGGGAGAGGAUUAUAGGAUUCUGGAAGAUAUAUCAGACAGUAUAAUAGUAGUGACAACAAGAAACGGUAUUUAAAAUUUUCUAUAAAAUAAAAAAUUAGUGUUCAAUUAUUAACUAAAUUAUUGGAUAACAUAAUUAAUAGUGUGUAAAUUGGAGUAGGUUCCCAUUGCUUAGACACACAGCCAGCAACAGAAGAUGACCCAGUAUGGUUAGUAGUGCAGCGAAAGAUUGAAGUGGACAUGGUUCAUGAUUGGAUCCUCAAAUAUUUUGCAGAUUUGGUUCAAAAUCAGAGCAUAAGAUUAAAUUGUGACUACAAAAUUAGUCUUUUGUUUUUCUUCCUCUCCUCUAUCUUUCUAAUAUUUAUGGAGUAAAGAUAAAUAAUAAUAGUGCACCUAGCUAGUUUGGAUUUGGUUGUCAUUUUCAUAAUUUUUACUCUGAGUUGUCUAAAUGUGUAGAACAGGUGUGCAAUAUUACUUAAUGUAAAGCACUUAAGGCUCAAUCUUUAUGUAAUAAUCAUAUGGUGAAUAUCAAUUCAUAUACAAUCAGAUUGGGUUAACCAUUUUCUCCCUUUGAUUUAAGAGUUACCGUAUAGGUACUUGAAGCUGGAGAGAGUCAAAGAUUUGCCCUCCACACACACACACAUAUGGAAAUGUUUUAAUCUGGAAUUUUAAAGUGCAAGAAUAUCUUGGAAAACACAUAAACCAUGCGGUUUAAGCCUUUAAAACCCUGUGGUUUUAAAGUUUUUCUGAACGUUUCCCGCACUUUUAGAUCCCUUAUAUGCCUCAAAAGUUAGGUGUUUAUGCUUAUAUGCUCCGUUUAUUAGUAGCCAAGCUUACGAGUAUAUUACUUUAGGCGAACCUCUCCCUAUUCUUCUCCAUAAUGGCUAUUUCUCUUAAUUAUUUGACAAUCUAAUGCAAUCCCAAACGUGACUUAGCAUCAAGUUUAGGAUGGCAGUGGCUGAUAAAAUAAGUUAUUUUUGUUGUGAGGAUGAAAUAAGUUGAUGAUUAAAAAAGUAUCUUGCUCGUGUUUGGUAAAUUUGAUUAUGAAUGAGUUGUAUAUUAUUUAAUCACUAAAAUAGACAUAAGUUUAAACAGUGUUUUAUUUAUAUAUUAGAGCUUAUAGAAAAGAAAGAUAUAAUUAUUCUUUUCUUAAAAUAUUAAGAUUAUUAUAGGAACAUUUGAAAAGAUCUAGCAACUUAUUUAAGAAGUUGCUUAUCAAAAUAAUCUCCUGCCUGUUUUUAGAAGUUGCAGUCAAAAUUGAGAAAAUUACGAACGAAGCAACUUUUAACAAAGCCAUCAAACCUCAUUUUUAUCUAAACUUAUAAAAUAAACUGCUUAUAGCAUUUCAAUCACAAUCUUGGGUCAUUAGUCUUUAUGUAGAAUCAGAUUAGACAUUGAAUAUUUCUAAUUUUCUACACAUAUAAAUUAAAAUAUGUAGACUAGAAAAACCCCUUGACUUCGUAAGUCCACCUCAUUCUUUAAUUUCCACAGCACAUGUCAAGCCGUUUUUUCCAAAUAAUUGCUGACUAGGAGAAGUCUUAUAGUCAAGGUGAUUGGAUGAGCGUGUUAUGGAAUUACGUAUCGUAGGGGUUCCCUGCCCUCAACUAAAAAAGUUGCCUUAAAAAUUAAAUAUUAAAUAAUAUGGUGUGUGUAUAUAUAUAUAUAUAUAUAUAUAUAUAUAUAUAUAUAUACCAGAAGGAAAUAGGAUCGAAGGAUGGGUGUGCUUUCGUUGGAACUCAAAAUUAAAAACUCAAAUUAAACAAUGGAUUGAAAUGGAUCGGCUUUGUCCAAAUUUUAAAAUAAAUUACCAGCUUUAAAUGAAGUAGAUUUGCUUUGGAACGCGGUUGGUCAAAUUUUAUAGUAUUUAAAGUACGUGGCGUUGUUAGACCAGAUCGAUCGCAGAAGUUAAUCUGCCUUUGGACCCAGAUCUGACUUAGACCAGAUCAAUAGUCCGCACGUUCGGGUUUCCAGCCUAUAUACUUCAAUAUAUUUACCAGAUAUUUGUUAGAUUCUUUAUCAAGCCUAGCAACACAUACAUCUAAGGCUUGGGUACAUACACAGUACUAGAUCCGGAUCCCGGAAAUAGUGCUCUGAAGAAGGAAGGAGAAAGAAAGAUACAACUGAGGAUUGAGAUCUGGUCUCGUUGCCUCAGAGGAAUGUAUAAUUUAUAUGGCAGAUCUGAUACAGAUCAGUCUGCAAGCAUGCUUUAAAAGGAAAUGCUUUAAAGUAAAUUACUGAAAUGUAAAUUACAUUGAACUUUAAAAAUUUAAAGAACUGAACUUUAAACAUACAUGUUGCUUUGAUGCUUUGGUGAUUGAUACAAUUUUAGGGAUGUGUCUUUGAAAGAAAGAUUGAAAGACGGGAAGAUUACAAGACAGGAAACCUCCUUGAUGUCUUGAGCAUUUACAAGACAGGAUAGUUUUCCCGAGUGUCUUGAUCCAGACUUCCCUUAGAGAGAGAGAGAUUUUUAGAGAGAAUGAGGAGAAGAAGAGAGAGAAGUGAAAAACCAAAAAUGAAAAACCUGAGGAGUCUAAGUCUUCCUCUUGGUUUAUAUACAAAAUCUUUAAACUGUUCACUGUAGCGGAGUUUUGAGUGCACAGUAAUCUUUGGAAAUUGGCACUGUUCACUGUAGCGGAGCUUUGAGUGCACAGUAAUAUUUGGAAAUUGGUACUGUUCUUUGCAACAUAUGUCGAGCAGGAAUUACUGCAGCUGUUAUGCCGAGCAGGAAUUACUGUAGCUGUUAUGCCGAGCAGGAAUUACUGUAGCUGAUAAACAGAGCAGGAAUUACUGUAUGCAGAGCAGAGAACUUUGGAUGGUAACUUUGAAGAUUUUGUAACACGGGUGAAGAGACAUGUGCGCUCUCACUUGUGUCCAAGGGACCACUCGAAAAUGUAAAAUUAUCAAGAAAUUACUUUUUUUUUUUUUUUAAACAGUUACAUGAACUAUUUACAAUGCUUUACAGGAGGGAAAAUUCCGAAACAAUCGUCUUCAUUUUCGUCUCCGAGGGAGAUGGUUGGCUCAUCUUCUUCGUCUUCAUCUUCAGAGGAGUCAGCCACUGAUGACUUUGACCGGGAGGCGAGGAGCUGUUCCAUGGCUUUGAAGUACUCUUCUUCUUUCUUGGCACUUGCCAGAAGAGAUUGGGCUUUGGAUUUUUGGGUAAGGAAGGUUUGCUGGGCUUUGGAGUCUUUAAUGGUUGGCUAUAGAUGGCCUCUAGUGGAGAGCCAUUUUUCAAUAUCAUUAGUAGUCAAUUUGGUUCUUUCAUCAAAUUUUGACCACCAUUUGACUUUGAAAGUUCUUUGAAGGAUGAAUUGGGCAUCUUGAUUGUGGUACCGAAGGCUCCACAUCCAAACCCAAGGGAGAAAGAAGUUUGUACAGAAACAGAGAAAAGGAGGAAAUCUUUUUUCAGACUCAGUAGGUUUGUAAUGGGCUUUAAAAAGAUUUAGACAUUGUAUGGCGUUUGGGGUAAGGAUAUCUGGGCUUGGCCCAAAAUGAUUCCACCAAUGAUGAAACCAAUUUGGUAGGCUUUGGACGGUUAUUUUUGAAUUAAAGAAAAAUAACCAAGAAUGGGAUUUUUUAGGAUUUUGAAUAAAAAAUGUGUUGUACCAGGCUUGUUGGUAAUCCUAGUAGGAAAAAGUCCGACAAUGUGGUAAACGGGUCUCAAAAUUUAAAGGAAAGGUUUUAUAAUUGUGGAGUAGGUCACCCCACUGAUUUGGGCUCAAGACUUUAAGGAUUGUGGCCGUGGAAUAGGCCGGCUCAGAAUGAGUAUCACUGAGAAAGAAAUGUUUGAAUUUGACUGACUCAGUAAUUUCUAAAAUGCUUUGAUAAUAAGACUGGGGUUUUGUUAAAUCCCAUGGUUUAAAAAACCAGCCUUUGGGAAAAAACUUUGAAAUACUUUGAAAAGGAUCAGUAUGGUAAAAUCCAUCUUCCAUAGAAAGAAUGUUUUGAAAAUGGGCUUUAUCAAACCAAUCGGAGGUUUUCUUUGAAGGUGUUGGCUGAGAAAGCACAAUUUGGGAGGAUGAGCUUUCACAGGACACAACAACAUUUUGGGAAGAAGGCUUUGAAAUUUCUUUGGAAAUGGGUUUUUCUUUGCCUUCUACUUUAGGAGAAGAUUGGCUUUGAGAAAGAUUUUGUAAGGCGAGCAUAAGCUCAGGGGAUUUUGUAAUGGAACUCAUCCAUUGCUUUACUUGGUCAUCAGAAGAAAUAGAUUUGUAUUGGGCUUCAUGUUCCUCGACCAAUUCAAUCCAGGAUUUAAUGGGCAAGGCAGAAGAAAGAAGCUUUUCUUUAGAGGGGGUUGUUUGAGGUUCUUUAGAAGGUUCUUGAGAUUCAGUGUCUUUAAGAACUGCUUUACCUUUGUCCUUUCUUUUUGGCGCCAUUAUCUGUUUUGAAGAAAUUCUCUGGUUAGAAAAUCAGGAAUAGAAUUUUUGUCACCUUUAAUAAACUCAAUAUCAAAAUCAAAAACACUUAAAAUAGCUUGCCAACGUGCAAAAAUCUGUUUGGAUGCAAUGUUUUGAACAUCUUUUUCUAAAACAUGUUUUGCAGCUUUGCAAUCAAUUCUAAGUAAAAAUUUUUGAUUUAAUAAAUCGCUUUGAAAUUUAGAUAUGCAUAAAACAAUGGAAAGAAUUUCUUUUUUGAUAGUAGAAUAUUUUUUCUGGCAAUCAUUCCAAUGAGCAGAAACAUAUUGUACUAUCUGUUCUUUAUCAUUUUCCUUUUGUUUUAAAAUACCUCCAUAACCUAUAUCAGAUGCAUCAGUCUCAACAAUUUUAGGUAAUGCAGGAUUUGCAAGAAAUAAACAUGGGAUGUUUUUUACAGAUUGCUUUAUUAAUCUAACAACUUUAGUAUGUUCAUCUGACCAUGCAAUAUGAUUCUUUUUCAACCUAUCAUGCAAGGGUUUAGACAUCCUAUUGAUGUUAGGGCAGAAAUCGAGAACAUAAUUUAAACUACCAAGAAAUCUUUGUAAUUGGGUUUUGUCAAGAAUUUUGUCUGGGAAUUUAUCCGCAAACAAAAGAGAUCUUUCAAUUGGAGUAAUGGUUCCUUUAGAAAUAUGGUGACCAAGGAACCUGACUUUUGUGUGAAAUAACGAAAUUUUUGAACUAGAGAGGGCCAACCCAGCCUUUCUAGUAGCAAGAUAAAAAGUCUUUAAAUGUUUGAAAUGUUGAUCAAUAGUCUGAGAAAAAAUCAACACGUCAUCAAUAUAAACAAUGCAAAACUCAGAAUAAGGAUUGUAAAUGUCAUUCAUGAUUCUUUGAAAUUCUGAGGGUGCAUUUUUCAAACCAAAAGGCAUUACUGUCCACUCGUACUGACCAAAGGGAACAGUAAAAGCUGUUUUAUAACGGUCUUUAGGGUGAAUCUGAAUUUGCCAAAAACCAGACUUCAUAUCAAAUUUUGAAAAAAUGAAAGCUGAGCAGAGUUUUUGGAGCAAAUCUUUUUUGUUAGGUAUGGGAUACCUAAUCCACUUUAAAGCUUUAUUCAAAGGUUUGUAAUUUAUCACAAGUCUUGGAAUACCUCUUUCAAUUUCAGAGUUUUUAUUAACAUAGAAAGCGGCACAAGACCAUGGUGAUCUGGACUUUACAAUAAGACAUUUGGUUUCUAAAUCUUUUAUUUCAUUUUUACAAUGUUGUUCCAAUUCCAUAUUCAUUUGGAUUGGACGAGCUUUAGUGGGUAUUUUCUUUUCAUCAAAAGAAUUCUCAUAAGGCAGAUCUACCAGGUGUUGUUUUCUAUUCCAAAAAGCAGAAGGUAGAUCAGCACAAAUUUCUUUUUCAAUAAGGGCUUUAAAAUCAGAAAUUUUACUUUGUAUAAAAUCAUUUUGCAAUUGACUCUCAAUUCUUUGAAAACUUAAUUCCUUUUGUAAACAAAAUAAAUCAUCUUGUUUAGAAUUAAGGAUGGCAUUGACUUUGUUUUGAUAAACAGAACAAGCUUUGACAAUAUUAAGAUUCCUUGUCUUUGGUUUUUCAAUAAAUGAGAAAAUAAGAUCUUUGGAUUUUGCUCUGAAAUAAAUACCAUCAUAAUUGAUAGCAUAAGGGGUUAUAAGAUUUAUAAAAGGGGUUAUAAGAUUUAUAAAAGGGGUUCCUAAAAUGAUAGCAUGGUGUAUAUCAUUUGUAAGAACAAAAGAGGUUUUGAAAUCAAUUCCAUCGUUAAAAAUAGAAGCUUCAACUUUGGAAUUUACUUUUAGUUUUGAAUUAUUAGCAGCAGAAAGUCUUUCAUUUGUCUUUUCAUGAAAUCUCUUUGGAACAAUGUCCUCUCUAAUACAAUUUAAAUCAGCACCAGUGUCAAAAAGGGCAAUGGCGUCCAUUGCAAAAUCUUUGGAAAAGAUUAAAGUAAUUUUUACCAAAUAUUUUCUGGUGGUGAUUUGCUUUAAAACAAACAAAAAAUCUUUUGGAACAGACUCAAUGUUUUCAACUUUGUCAUCAUCAUCAGGAGUUGACUCAUUAUCUGAGUUAUCCUGUAAUUGUUUUUGUAAAAGAAGUUGGAUAGUAAUAGAAUCACUUUUUUGUUUUUCUUUCAAAUCCUUUAUUUCAAGUUUAAUAUCCUUGAUCUCCUUCUGAAGAUCUUGGAUACUAGGAAUGGACUUCUUUGUUUUCUUUUUGUCUAAAAUCUCAGUAAGAUCAUAAGAAUUCUUUUUAACAAUAGGAACUUUAGAAGUUUCUGCCUUGUUUGAAUCCAUGGUUUUCAAAAGUUUAUCAAGAUAUUCUUUUUGAAGAUUUGGAUCAGAAAUAUGCUUUACAAGUUCGAGGAAAAUCUCUUGGUCUUUAGUCAAAACAUUGAUUUUCUUUAAAUAAGAAUCCGAAUCAGAAUCGCUACUGCUAGAUGCAGAGGUAUCUGAAUCAAAUAACUCAUCAACUUGAAGGGGGUCACUAUCUCCCGACACGGAGGACUCAGAAUCAGAGGACUCUACCAGAAGGGGGGCAAUUUUAGAAAGGAUGUCCUUAUUAAGGUCAAGCUCUUGGAGUCUUUUGUUCAUUCUGCAAAAUUUUGCAGUAUGACCUUUCAUACCACAUUUGAAACACGUGGCAUCUUUGAAAUUGAAUGGGGUUUUAGGUUUGGUUCUAAACUCUUUCUUUUUAGAAAAACUAUGUUUCUUAUAAGGCCUCGAGGGUUUCUUAUAAGGAAGUUUUCUAAAAUCAUGAAAGGGUUUCCUAUGGCUUUUAGACUUGUAAUGUUUCUUGUAAGGUUUUGGAGAACACUUACCAUUACAGUCUUUAGAAGUAGAAGUUUUAAAGGGGUCAUAAUUGAAUUGCUUACAGAAACCGCCUAAUUCUUGCUUAGAUUUCCUAAGCUCUCAUUUUAGACGUCUCUGUAAUUUCAAAUCUUGACAGAUCUUUAAUCCUUCUUUAUUGACAAAACUGACUAGUUCACCAUAGGUGAGCUCGUCAUAAGGAACACGAUUGUCAUAAAGAGCUUUGAUGGAAUUUCUAACCUUUUCUCCCAAAAGGGUAGGUAAACCUGCAAGGAAUUUCUCCUUCCAAGUUACAUGAUUCGCAUCAUCCCUUAGGAAGAGUCUGGUAAAGAAAGUGGUUUUGUAAUCUUGAAAUUCACUGAGUUUUCUACAUCUCAAGUUGUGUAGUAACUCGGCGUUUUUGUCUCUAAGGUGAGAAGGGUCACCUAUGAAGUGAAGGGAUAUGGUCAAAAUCAGGGUAGCAACAGCAUCCUGAAUAGGAUUAUUGAACUCGUCAAGAAUGGGGGCACCAUUCUCAUCGAUUUGAAUAGCAUUUAAGAUGUCUAAUUGCUGCAAUUUAGUGAGAAGAUGAUCCCACCAUCCUUUAAGUUGGCCGGUAAAACCAGCAAUUAGGAUUUCUGCAAUGGCCUUGUCAGAAGUUCCUGAUUGGGUUUUAUAGGCAUUGGCUGCCAUGGUCAUUUGCUGCAAUACACCUAAAAUGUUGUACUCAGACAUUCCAUCUAUAUUCCACUCAUAGACAGAGGAUGCAUUAUAUCGAGCUUGAUUUAAUGCACUAGGCCUGUUGUCUAUAGUCAAAUCAGGUGGAGAUUUGGAAAUAGGGAGAGCUAAUUCCCAUUGGAUUUUGUUGGCUUUAGGAACAGGUUCUUCGGUAAAGGCUUCUAUGUCUGAAGAGGCAAUAGAAACCUGGUCAAGAUUUAAUACUCCAAUCUUGCUAGAUUGAGGAGUAUCAGGGGCUAUCUGAACUUUGCUAGAUGAGGAAGAAGCAGCUUCUAUCCUAUCUAACUGUUCUCUAAUGGCUUUAGCAAAAUCCGAUUUUGACUCAUGAACAAGCCUUUGGCUAGUUUUCGAAACCUGAAAAGGUUUGAAAAUAGGUUCCUUAAGCUUUUUAUCAGAAUCUGAUUUUGAAGGAAUAGGUUUUAGACUAGGAGAAAUAGAUAUGGUUGACUGUUGGAAUUGGUUUUCUAUUCUAGUCAACUGUUUUCCUAUAGUAUUUAAGUUAGUAUUACAGAAAUUAUUCUGUUGGAUAAUACUACUUAAAUUGGCUUCAGAAUCAUUUGGCUUUGGUAUUUUGUAUGGUGAAGCUCUGAUUUGGACGGGAGGUUCACCAUGAUCAAUGGUAACACUCCGAAGAGGUGGGUGUUCCGACUCUAUGGUUCUAUCGCUAUCAAGAAGUUUCCAUUCAGGAAUUUUCUUCCUAAUAGUGAUAGGAUUUGACUCUUUGAAAUGAUAAGAGAUAUUGUUCUCAGAAGAAUAUAUUUCGAACCAAUCAAAAAACAAUAUAUGAACUUGAUGUAAAUUCACAAAUUCAUAAUAAGUCUGUUGGAUUUCUUUUCUUUGAUUUAGGAAAUGCUCAAAAAACCAAAGUCUUUUUUCUUUAUUGUUUUCUGAAUAAAAAUCAUUAUGAAGAAGAGUUUUAUCUAAAUCAAAAUGCUUCUCAAUAACAUUUAAAACAUUUUCUGUGACAGCAGAGAAUGUAGGGGAAGUUGGAGGAGAAGGUUCCUUCUCUUCCUGACUUUGUUCAUGUUGACUGCUAAUAUAAAUGGGAUGUGGUACUUUUGUGGUAUAGUCAACAGAACGAAUGGAGGAACUAGGUAAAUCCGAAGUGGAAAACCUAGGUUGACUUUGAAAAGGAAGAUUUACAACAGAAGGAAUUUUUGUAAAUUUCCUUUCUAAUGAAGGAAUACUUGAGCACGACUCUCUAUCAGAAAAUCUGGUUGAAUUAGAUCUCCUGAACGACAAUUUGACUUUACCAUCAGAAUACUGAGUCACAUUUUGCAACUCUGUAUUUGGCUCAAGUUGUCUUGGAACUGCUGGUGGAGCAAUUCCUUCAAGAAUCCAUUCCUCUGGAAGAUUGACAUCUUUCCAUUGGAUUGGUUUUGGAAUGACAGUGUUUGCUUUAGACAAGUCAGUCUGCAAGAGAAGAGUCUCAUCUCUUUUUUACUGGAAUUUAUGCUGCGUGCUAAACGCAGAGAUCAUAGCCUUAUAUGAGAUUUUAAAGAUUAAAGCAACCGGGACAUAUCCCUCUAUCAUAUUAUAAUUAUGUGUUUUAAUCUGUAAAAUCAUGCUUUUCAAAAUAUUUUUGUCUUUAAGAGAAAGCGUUAUGUUAGGAUAACAGUCAAAAGAAAUUGGACCUUUACAUAGACUGGACUCAAUGCUACUUAGCAAAGAAUCAUCAAAAGAGAUGAAACGGCCAUCUCUAAGGACAGCAAGGAUAGAAGUAUCCAAGCCUUCUUUGGUUAAAGGCUUUAUUCCUAUUUGGAUUAAACCAAUGUGGAUGUAAUUAAAAUUCUUUUCUUUUAAUUUCUUUAAAGAUUUCUCUGAAAACAGAUGUAUUGUUUCAAAUGGUGAAGAAAGGGUUAUGUCUCUUUCUUCGGUUUUUAUGACAUAAUCACUCUUUAGAAAAUCAAACUUUUUUGUUUUGUAAAUCUGUUCUUUUGAAAUCUUUGGAAGUUCCCAACAAUCAAUUGCUUUAUCAAAGUUCUCAAUAACGAAUUCUUCUGAACUCACAACAUGCUUUGAAUCACUAGUCUUCCCGGAAGAAGAGCUAGAAAAGGACGAUGUUCUAUAGUGUAGAGGAUUCAUGGUUAGAACCCUAUAGUCUAUUUAUGGUUUGGUCAGAAUGGCUACAGGUAUGGUUUUACAGCCCUAAACGGAAAACUUAUCCUUGGACGGGACUUACUACUAGUAAAAAUUCGCCACACAAAAAAACUUCAAAAUAAAACACAAGAUUUUAAACACAAAAUUCUAAACUGCUUUACACAAUCCUCCCCUUGGCUCUGAUACCAGAAGGAAAUAGGAUCGAAGGAUGGGUGUGCUUUCGUUGGAACUCAAAAUUAAAAACUCAAAUUAAACAAUGGAUUGAAAUGGAUCGGCUUUGUCCAAAUUUUAAAAUAAAUUACCAGCUUUAAAUGAAGUAGAUUUGCUUUGGAACGCGGUUGGUCAAAUUUUAUAGUAUUUAAAGUACGUGGCGUUGUUAGACCAGAUCGAUCGCAGAAGUUAAUCUGCCUUUGGACCCAGAUCUGACUUAGACCAGAUCAAUAGUCCGCACGUUCGGGUUUCCAGCCUAUAUACUUCAAUAUAUUUACCAGAUAUUUGUUAGAUUCUUUAUCAAGCCUAGCAACACAUACAUCUAAGGCUUGGGUACAUACACUUAAGGCGCUUACCACUCGCCCUAAAAGCUUAAGCUGUUAGGAGAAGGCGCUACUUUAUACUUAAGCACCACCCGGACCAAACCAGGUAACGUCUCCACGUUAUGCCACGACAUCGUGACCCCACAUCGGCCUUACAGGAGUCACCACAAGGGUGCGGGCCCCAGUUCCAGUACUGGGAUAAUAUAUUAAGCCCAUUCCUCCCCCCCGAGUUUCGAACCCUGGCCGGCUCUGAUACCACUUAAGGCGCUUACCACUUAAGGCGCUUACCACUCGCCCUAAAAGCUUAAGCUAUUAGGGGAAGGCACUACUUUAUACUUAAGCACCACCCGGACCAAACCAGGUAACGUCUCCACGUUAUGCCACGACAUCGUGACCCCACAUCGGCCUUACAGGAGUCACCACAAGGGUGCGGGCCCCAGUUAUUAGUCUUCAUGUUUUGCACAUGUUCGAACGGAAAUUGUAAUAUUAAAUAAUAUGGCAUUAUUAAAGUUUAAAAAAAAUCUAAAAUUAAUCAUAAAAAUAUAUAUAUUUUUAACUCUUAAUGUUUUGCACAGGUAUGGACGGCAAUUAUACAAUGAGAACGAAACAAUAAUAUAAUCGUGCGUUUGACACACUGUAUUGUAUUAUGUUGUAUUGCAUUAUUUUAUUGCAGGUGUAUUGUAUUAUGUUGUAUUGCAUUAUUUUAUUGCAGGUGUAUUGUAUUAUGUUGUAUUGCAUUAGCAUUGUAUCAUAAUAAUGUUGUACAAUGUUUGGCGUUACACUGUACUGUAUUAAUUUUUUUGUGAUUAAUUUAAAUUAUAUAUUUAAAAUAAUAUUUAUUAGUACUUAAAAAUAAUAAAUAUAAAAUUCUUAAAUUUUAGAAAUUUAACAUUUUUAUUAAAAAUAUAUAUUGAAAUGUCAUAAUUCUUCCGAAGCUUAUAGUCUUAAAUUUUUGGAAGUGUAUUUUUCAGUAUUUUCUAAAUAUAUAACUUGUGAAACAAAGAUCGAAGUAAAUAAAUUAAUCAAAUAAUCACUAAAUAAUUUAACAACAUAAAUAAAUAGUUAAAAUCUUCAAGAUUAAUUCAAAAAUCAUUUGAGGAUGAUAGAAUAAAAGUUUAUACAUAUUACAAGAUAAUUGUAGAAUAAUAAAGUGAUACAACUGUUAUGACAUAUUCACUAAGAAAAUAAAUUGAGCUAAAUAAUCCAGUAUUUUUUUAUAUUAUUAAUUUUCAAUUAAUAUUAUUCAAAUUUAAAUAUUUAUUGUUAGUUAUAUUAAAUUAUUUAAAAAUAGCUAAAUUAAUUAUUGUACUAUAAUUAAUAAAAUAUUAUAUUAUUUAAGUAUUUAUUACUAAUUAUAUUAACUUAUUAAAGAUUAAUUAAUAUACUUUUAUAUAUUAAUUAAAAUAAUACAAUUAAAUAAUACAUUGUUUAGUUAUAUAUUUAAAAUAAUAAAAAUUAAAACAUAAUUUAAUAUUAUGUAAUAUAAUCUUAAAUUAAAAAAUUAUAUUAAUUUGUUAUUAUUAUUAUUACAAAGAGAGAAAAAAAAAAAAAAGGCAAACUAAGUUGCCGCAUUAGCUAACCCCAACUAAGGGUCGGUUAAACACCCCCAAAAUGAACACUGGUUAAGCUAAUUGGGGUGGUUAAAAUUUGCACUCCCGUGACUGCGCACGAGGAACGCCCCUUUGCUUAUAAUAGCUUACCGUUCAUCUAGUAAUUAUAUAUAAAUCUUUCCAAUGUGGGACAAAUGUAUUUUCCUUUAAUUUUUCAAAUUCAUGAGUGCACUUUGAGUAACAAUUUCUCAUUCACUUGAGGAUCAUUUUGAUCAUAUAGAUAACAUUCCGAAGUACUCAUAGAGGAAUAUGCGAAACAAUUUCUGACUUUUCGCUUAUACCAAAUAGGUCUCAUUCAAAAUCAUGCCUCAAGUAGCUACUUGCGCAUUAUUUUUCUAACACUUUCUUUUUGUUUUUUUUAAAUUUGGUUGCGUGCAGAAAAAUUGAGCGGUAAUGAAAAUUUCAUCUUCUUUCAUUUAUGAUGUUUAGGGUUAAAAAAAAAAAAAAUGUUAGUUAGCCCAUGAGCUAUGGUAUGUAUGUUACAAAAGAUAUGAUUAGUCUUGUUUAUUUUCCUAUUUGAGCCAUUAUUUAUAACAAUUCUUUUCUUUGAACUUUUUUCCUUUUCUUAUUUUGGGUAAUACUUAAUAUCUUAUACUACUAAUAAUGCUAUUAAUUAUUUCUAAUAUUGUCCAUAUUAUCUCAUGUUUCUGCAAAGUUGUUCAAAUAGAUCUACACCUCACAAAUACAAGCCGAUAAGGUUAUAUCUCCAUGAUUGAAUCCAUCCAGAGAAGACAUUGACUCACACUAUUUGAAAACGCGUAUUGGAAGUUAACACCGGGAGCUUGCAAAACAAUUAAUUCUUAUAUAAACGCUUUGCUGAGAAUCAAAUGUAGCUCAAUCAACCGAAAACCACCAUAAACAUGGCAUCAGCGUCCUCUGUUUCGAGACUGGUGGUCAUUAUAAUUUUAAUUAAUGUUGGUGCUAUAAGUGAUACGACAAUAUCUGUAACGACAUCAGCUGCAGGAUUAUUGUCGUCACCCAUACUGUUAGAAAGGGAAGCUUUACUUGCUACAGGCUGGUGGGUCAACAAUUGGGCGACGACGGGCAACUACACGUCCGAUCAUUGUAAGUGGACUGGCAUCAGUUGCAAUUCAGCGGGAAGCGUAAUCGGGGUCAGCUUACUCUGGUAUGAAAAUGAUAACAUCAUAGGAGAGCUUGGUCGUUUCAAAUUCUCUUGCUUUCCCAACCUCAGAAGUUUCAAAAUUCGUUCAAAUUAUCUUCUCUCUGGGAGCAUUCCAUCUGAAAUUACUGUUCUUUCAACAAUCCGAACUCUUGAACUGACCUCCAACAAUCUUACCGGUAAGCUGCCAAACUUCACUGUAACAUAUUAUAUUUUUUAUAAAAUCGUGCUCAUGCUUAGUGCGGGCGUUUGCUUUUACAAUGCUGAAGAAGUGUGUGCCGUCCGCACUUGAGUAUGACUCUCUCUCCAUAUAAAUUUUGCAUUUUUUUUUUUUGUUGUUAUGAGGAUAGUGAAUACUGAUCUCGUUUUUCAUAAAUCAUAUGCACAACAGGAAUUAUCCCUUCAGAGAUGGGGAGAUUGAGGAAUCUCGUCCACCUGGAUCUAUCUAAUAAUCACCUUACGGGACAUAUCCCUCCAACUCUUGGUCGUCUAAGCAAAUUGAAAAUUUUUGAACUUGUCUUCUAACUCCCUUGUUGGUAAUGUCCCCUCCACUCUAAGUCAUCUAACCCAGCUAACUACUUUGGCUAUUGCCUCAAACCAAAUUAAUGGUUCCAUCCCAUUAGAAAUCGAGAAUUUGAAGGUUCUUCACGUUCUUGACCUGUCCAGAAAUGAAAUUGGAGGUUCAAUUCCUUCAACAAUUGGCCAUUUAAAGAGGUUGAGAAUUUUAGACUUGUCCCAAAACAAACUUGUUGGUCCAAUCCCUUCGUCUGUAGGUCCUUUGACUCAGCUAACUACUUUGAAUAUGCACUCAAACCGAAUUAAUGGUUCCAUCCCAUUAGAAAUCGGGAAUUUGAACUUUCUUCAAGUUCUUGGCCUGUCCGACAACAAACUUCAAGGUCCAAUUCCUUCGACCAUAGCUAGUUUAGUCAACUUGAAAUCUCUGUCCCUGGAAUAUAACAAUCUAAUUGGACCUAUUCCUUCAACACUUGGUCAUUUAAACAGGUUGACAGAUUUAGACUUGUCCGAAAACAAACUUGUUGGUCCAAUCCCUUCGUCUGUGGGUCAUUUGAACUUUCUUCAAGAUCUUGACCUGUCCAACAACAAACUUGAAGGUCCGAUUCCUUCGACUAUAGCUAGUUUAGUCAACUUGACAUAACUGUCCCUGCAGGAUAACAAUCUAACUGGACCUAUUCCUUCAACACUUGGUCAUUUAGACAGGUUGACAUAUUUAGACUUGUCCGAAAACAAACUUGUUGGUCCAAUCCCUUCGUCUGUGGGUCUUUUGAACUUUCUUCAAGUUCUUUACCUGCCCAACAACAAACUUGAAGGUCCAAUUCCUUCGACCAUAGCUAGUUUAGUCAACUUGAAAUCUCUGUCCCUGGAAUAUAACAAUCUAACUGGAUCUAUUCCUUCAACACUUGGUCAUUUAAACAGGUUGACAUUUUUAGACUUGUCCGACAACAAACUUGAUGGCCCAAUUCCUCCGGAACUCAUGAAUUGCUCAAAGCUGACGACAUUAAUAUUGGGAAACAACUUGUUAAGCGGAAGCAUUCCAUCACAGAUCGGCAAACUUCAAAAACUAUAUUAUCUUGAUCUAAGCGAUAACUCCAUCAAUGGUAAAAUACCUUACCAACUUGGAGCAAUUCCGGGCAUACACACCGUGGACCUUUCCAUGAAUAACCUUUCCGGUGGAAUCCCUGUAUUUGUCAGAAAAGUGCCACACUUAGAUGUGUCAGGCAAUAAAUUCGGAGGAGAAAUCCCAACUACUUUGGCAAAUGCGCCACCGCCACAUCACAAAACGAUUGCCACUCGCUUGGUUGCAAUUAUUCUUGCUAUGGUCGCAUUCCUUGCCUUGAUAUUUGGAAUCUUGAUUAUCCAUAGACGAAGGGAUAAGGAAGUUGAACCAACUGGGACAGGAGAAAUUACCAAGUGCGCUGAUGAGUUUGCAAUUUGGAAUUACGAUGGUAGAAUUACAUUUCAAGACAUGAUUGAAGCCACUGAGGAUUUCGAUAUCAAAUACUGCAUUGGAACCGGAGGCUACGGCAGCGUUUACAGAGCACGGCUGCCCAAUAGAAAAGUGGUUGCUUUGAAGAAGCUUCACCGUUCAAAAACUGAGGAGUUAGCUUCCCUCGAGAGUUUCCAAAAUGAGGCUCGUCUACUGUCCCAAAUACGGCAUCGAAAUAUCGUAAAGCUUUAUGGCUUUUGUUUGCACAAGACAUGCAUGUUCUUAAUCUAUGAGUACAUGGAAAUGGGAAGCUUGUUCUGUGUUCUACGCACAGAUGAGGAAGCUGUUGGGUUGGAUUGGACUAAAAGGGUGAACAUUGUGAAGGGUAUGGCUCAUGCUUUGUCAUACUUACAUCAUCACUGCACACCACCAAUUGUUCACCGGGACAUAUCAAGCAACAACAUUCUACUCAACUCAGAAUUAGAAGCAUUUGUUGCGGACUUUGGCAUUGCUAGAUUGUUAAAUUUUGACUCAUCCAACCGAACUCUUUUAGCUGGCACUUUUGGAUAUAUUGCUCCAGGUCAUCCUCUAGCUAUUCCUCUUAUGCUUCUUUAAUUAUCCUCUUAAUUAAUUUUUAUAUAUACUCUGCCAAACCAACAAAGUGUUGGCUCCACUGGCAAUGGAGUCCCCUUAAGUGGCUUGACUGGGUUUGCUCCCCAGUUCGAGUCCCAGGUAAGUCGCGUUUGUUGGGAGAACCUGUGCCUCCCGGUUCGAGCGAGGACUUCUAGUCUUGGUUGUGGUACGGGCUUAAAAGUGCCUCCCACAGUUGGGGCCCUCCCCAGGAUACCUCGUGAUUAUAUCAAAAAAUAUAUAUAUAUACUCUGCCAAGUAGUUUUUAAGCAGCUUUAUUUAGGUCGCUACUUGGUUCGAAUUUUGAAAAAGCUAAGGGGCUAAAACUAAAUUUAAACUUUGCCUACCCCUUUUCCUUUUAAAACACACACACACUGAACAUAAGUUAAAACAUAAGUUUCUUUGUCAUAACUUGCUACGGAAGCUAAAAAACAUGAACAAAUUGUUCUUGUUAUUAUUUAUGGAAACGUUACUAAUGAAGGCCUUUGUUUUCCUAUAGAACUUGCCUACACCAUGGUUGUGACAGAGAAAUGUGAUGUUUAUAGCUUUGGAGUGGUGGCACUAGAAGUACUAGUGGGAAGGCAUCCAGAAGCGCUCCUCUCAUCGUCAUCUUCAUCAUUGGAUAAAAAUAUAAAGCUGAUUGAUUUGUUGGACCCACGCCUCCCGGCUCCGGGGGAUCAAAUGAUUACGCAUGAUAUCAUUCUUGUUUCAACAGUAGUAUUUUCAUGCUUGCGUUCUCAACCAAAGUCUCGACCUACAAUGCAACUCGUGUCAUUCUAAUUAUUAGUUUAUUUUACAAAUUAUAUAUAAAAAUUUCAUUCAGAACGAAGUUCUUGAUGUCGCGUUAUUUAAUAUAUUAGUUUUUUCACUCCUUUGUAAAUAUUCACACAAACAUAUACAAUAAAUUUUUAAUUUCGCCGAUCCGAUCAAACAUCCUGGACCCACCGCUGAUGUCAUCCGAAGGUGAGGAAGCUUCUGCAGAAGUUGUGGUUAGUGAUAUUCUUGCCAGCACAAGAUAAUUAAUUACUAGGAAAGAAAUAAUAAAAAAUUUUAUUAAUUACGAAACUGAUAACUAUAUAUUAAAUGUUGAGUGUUAGAAAAUGUAUAUUUAUGAAGGAGAAAAUCAUCAUUUUACAUUUCAAGUCUUACUAACACCCUUACUUUUAUGUAUUUAAGCUUAUUGUAAUUUAAUUACGUGUGUUUUAUUUUAAUUAAGUAUUUUAUGUAUUUUAGGGGCAUCAUAGUCAUUUCACAAUAAAUGAGAAAUCAUACGCCAAAACGGACAUCACUUUUGAACUCAGGACAGUCGAAAACUUUAGGAGGAACAUAAAAGGAAGAAUGUCACUGUUCACAUGUACAGUGCUAUUUACAUGUACGAUAUUGUCUACGUUACUGUUCAUGACACUAUUCACAUAGACGGAAUGAUGACGUGGCAUUGACCGAUGAUGUGGCAUUGACUGAUGAGGUGUCACGAUCCUAUUGGACUAAAAUUCUUAUGUACUAUUGAUCGAUGACGUGGCAGCAUAUCAGUGGACCAAAAAUCUCGCGUAUGGUACAUGCAUUACACAAGAUUAUUUUCAACCAAACCGUAUUACUAUUCAAACCGCGUGGUCAAACCACGUACUGUUGACUGAUGACGUGGCGCAAUCCUGAGCGUCUGAAAUGUUUUUGAUUCGAUGACCAUGAUUUACUCAAUGUAUCUAUAAAAAGGGGGCUCUCCCCCCUUAAUUUGUUAUCUCUGAAUCCAAUUUUGGGCUCCAUUUUCUGUAAUUCCUUCUUCAUCUUUUAUUUUCUACGUAUUUUAAUAAAUUUCCAUUUUGCCCCUAGAUCAAUUGUGAGUAGCUAAUUUUCUUUCAAGCUUGGGUUGAAGGUGAAGUCUCAACAUAUGUCAUGCGCUCUAUUUGGUAAAUUUAUUUUCUCUUCCCCUCUAGUUUUUGUGGAUGUUUUGACUUCUCGUCGACAAAUAAUAAUAAUCUUGUCUAGAUACCAUCCUGAUUUCACCGACUCCCUAGUACAAGGUUAUUAUUAUUUGGCACAAUAAGCCCUUAGCACCAUAUUGAUUAUAGUGUGGUUCAUGAGGUGUGGAUUCCCCCCUCAUGAUUUAAUUGACAUUAAUAAGGAAUAUUUAGGCCAUGGUGCAUGUUGAUACGGAUCCAGAUACCCAAGUGUUUCAUUUCAAUAGAUUUCUCUUCAAUUUAUUCUCGCCAUUUCAAUUCACUUUCACCACAAAUCCAAACAUCCAUUUAGAAAAAUUAAUUCUACACACAAUUAGAAUCAACCUCCUCGUGGGAUCGACACUCGUCACCAUUAAUCUAUUCUACAAUAGAUUCUUGCACUUGCGAGUUCAAUAAAAUUUGCACAACAUUAGACACACUAUAAUUUUAUGAAAACUGAAGAUCCAUACUAAUAUAAAACUAAAACCACCAUUAAUUAUAUUAUACUAUAACAACAAAUCCAGGAUAUAUUAACAAACACGUCGAUUUUGAAGCUGAAUUUAUAAUCUAAUCUUAACUCUAUUUCUUCUGUAUUUACAUAAUCAUCCUGCUAAUUAAGGAUUUACAACUUUGCCAUGAAAGGUCGGUGGCUCCAUGCCUUUUUCUUCUUCUCGUCACAAAUUUUUCUUUUGCUUCCACUUCACCAUUAAAGAACAUCCCAAAGCUUGGUGCUGUUCGUGGAAGGACUAUUUUUCAAAACCCUAGCAAAAAAAUCCACAAAGUUACUAUUAUGAUCAAACACUUGAUCACUUUAACUAUAAUCCACAAAGUUAUUUAACUUUUCCUCAUAGAUAUGCGUUGAACUUCAAGCAUUGGGGCGGUGGCAGAGCCAUGGCGGCGCCGAUAUUGGCAUAUCUUGGUGAAGAGAGUAGUCUUGAUAUGAUGACCUUGGUGGCAUUGGAUGGCUUGCUGAUAAUGCUCAUCGAUUUAAAGCCUUACAAGUUUACAUAGAGGUAAGUAAAGAAUUUGUUAUCAGGCUAGCUUGAUAAUAAUUAAAAUAGAGUUUGCGUAUGAAAUAAUAAUAAUAAAGACAAAUCUUAAUCAGAAUAUUCUACAAUAUGAACUGAAAAGUUGUGAUGGAUUUUUUUUUAAUUCAAUUUUUUAUGCAGUAUCGGUUCUAUGGAAAAUCAGUACCUUUUGUAUCAAGCAAAGAUGCCCUAAAAAAUGCAACUCUUCGUGGAUAUUUAAACUCUGGUCAAGCUUUGGCAGAUUAUGCAAAGAUUCUCUUACACAUCAAGGAAAAUUUAUCGGCCGAAAUGUCACCCAUUAUCGUCGUUGGAGCAUCUUAUCGAGGAAGUAAAUUUUAAUAUUAUUAACUUACUUACAUCUUUUGAUUAAUGUCGUGUCAUUUGUUGCACCAUUUUAUUCAUUUUGAUCUCGUUUGACCAAAAUAUUGAUUACGCCAAUAUUAUUUUGAUACAAAUUUAUUUUGCAUUCCAAUUAAUGAAUACUUUCAUCGAUCGUAAAAUUAAAAAAUACUAAAUAUAUUUAAGAUAAUUACGUUUUUAAAAUUAACCAUCUCAAUUCAUCCUAUUUUAUCAAAUCUGGGAUGUGAUAUGGUUUUGAGAGUUACUCAAUUGUGGGUUUGUUAUCACCAGUGCUUGCAGCAUGGUUUCGCUUGAAGUAUCCUCAGAGUCUUUGGGAGCAGUUGCCUCGCCCGCCCCAAUUCUCUACUUUGAUAAUAUCACACCAUCAAACGCAUAUUAUGAUCUUGUCACCAAUGACUUUAGGGUAAGAAACAAAAUUAAUUAAUUAAAAUUCUAUAUAUGUAUGAUUAUGUUUUCUUGUUAAAAUUUAACCAUUGAAUUUUGAAAAUUAAUGAUGCAGGAAGCCAGCGAGAGCUGCUACAUGACCAUCAAACAGUCCUGGGUUGAAAUGGAUAAAACCGCUGCUAGAAAAAAUGGACUUGCUUUUCUCUCUAAAAAGUUCAAAACCUGCAAGAAAUUAAUCAUAUUACUUUACAUAAUUGCUUAUAUAUAUAUCCAUCCGAUUUUCCCUUAAUAACAAUUAAUGCAAUGUUAUUGUAGCAUCAUUAUCGAAUGUACUAUGUCUAAUUAAUUAUCUGUCAUCCUCAGAGUAUAUAUACAUUUCGAUUAACGUGUAAUAUACAAAGUAAAAAUCUGGAUUUGGGCUUAUACACGGCCUUUGCAUUACCAUAUAUAUAGUAUACUGGUGCUUAGAUUCAGCCCUCCAGAGGUUCGUAUUUUACAGAAUCUAAAUUUGAACUACAAAACCACGCACAACUCUAAUUAUCAAAUAAGGCCAAAUUUGUACGUUUGCAUUUGAUAAUAUCAAUAGCUUCAUACUUAUGAAGUUUAUUGUAAUCUAACUAAAUAUAACAACAUUUUUUAGACGGCAUGUUGAAAGAUCUUUUAUAAUGUUACUAACCUUGUGGCACUUAAUUCUAUGUUGUUGUUGUUUAUUUGAUUACAAGCCUCUGAAGGAUGUUUCAGAAUUGAAGGAUUAUUUAGAGUGUAUGUAUACGGGUGCAGCUCAGUAUGAUGAUCCUCAGGAAUAUCCACUGAACAAAGCUUGUGAAGGUAUCGAUGGAGCUUCAGAAGGCACGGAUACCCUAGGCCGGAUAUUCUCAGGAAUUGUUGCUUUAAGAUGGGAGAAUUCUUGCCAUGAUGUUGAUGAAUUCUUAUCCGAUGAAACACUAGACUCGAGCUGGGGCUGGCAGGUAUGUGAUUACGGGUGACAUGAUUUCAUUAGAUACUUCUAUUGAGAUCGUCAAACAAACAUCAUGUUGCGAUGAAUGAAUCUCUCACCUAACAAUACCUAUUUUAUGUACAUCUCUUAAUUUUAUUUAUGAGACUACAUAUUUAUGAAUGAUUAAAAAUAAUUUUCUCCUUUAUUUAGUUAUUUAUUUAUUAUGAUUUUUUUUUUGGGAGGGGCGCCGGGGGGGGGGGGGGGAGGGGAUUUUUCAUGCAGAUAUGCAGUGAAAUGGUCUCAUCGAUUGGAAUUGACAAAAAUAGUACAAUUUUCAAGCAGACGAUAGAAUAUAUGAAUUCAUGCAAUAAGUCUUAUGGAGUGGCUCCAAUACCACAUUGGAUUACAACUUAUUACGACAGUCAUGUAAGUGUCAAUUAAUCCCCAAAUUAAUUCUUUUAAUAAUUUAAUUUUUUUCAUUUUCUUUUUUAAUCAUAAAUUUUAUCUCAAUUUUUGUUCGAUUUUUAUUUCUUUUUAAUUUGCAUGGUAUAAGAGUGGUUGUAAAGAGAUUUGGUAGCAACCUUAUUUUCUCUAAUGGCUUUCGUGAUCCCUAUAGCAGCGCUGGGUAAUUAAGCUUAAGAAUUUUGGACAUUCUUUUCUAUCAAAGUUACCUAUUUAAUUAUAUACCUUUUUCUUUUCUUCUUCUUUUGUUUUUUUUUUCUGAGAUUACAGUGUUCUGGAAGAUAUAUCAGAUAGCAUAAUAGCAGUGAUAACAAAAAAUGGUAUGUAAAUGUUUCUGUAAAAUAAAAAAAUUAGUGUUCAAUUAUUAACUAAAUUAUUGGAUAACAUAAUUAAUAAUGUGUAAAUUAGAGCAGGUUCCCAUUGCUUAGACAUACAGCCAGCAACAGGAGAUGAUCCAGAGUGGUUAGUAAUGCAGCGAGAGAUUGAAGUGGACAUGGUUCAUGAUUGGAUCCUUAAAUACUCUGCAGAUUUGCUUCAAAAUCAGAGCAUAAGAUUAAAUUGGGACUGCAAAAUUAGUUUUUUCUUUUUCUUCCUCUCGUCUAUCUUUCUAAUAUUUAUGGAGCAAAGAUAAAUAAUAGAGCACCUAGCUAGUUUAAGAGUUCAUUUUCAUUAUUCUUAAUCUGGGUUGUCUAAAUGUGUAGAACAAGUGUGCAGUAUUACUUAAUGUAAAGCACAUAUAAAGGGCUCAAUCUUUAUGUAAUAAUCAUAUGGUGAAUAUCAAUUCAUGUACAAUCACAUUGAAUUAACCAUUUUCUCCCUUUGAUUUAGGAGUUACUGUAUAGGUCGUUGAAGCCGGUGACAGUAAAAGAAUUUGCUCUCCAUGUACAUGUAUCUCUCAUUCUCAACCUGUUCCUAUGCUUCUACAUAAUAGCUUCUUUUGUUAAUUAUUUGACAAUCUCAUGCAAUUCCAAACAUGACUUAGAAUCAGUUUGAGAUUCCGGUGGCUAUUGAAAUAAACUACUUCUGUUAUGCAGAUAAAAUAAGCUAAUGAUUAUAAAAAUAGCUCGCUCAGUGUUUGGUAAAUUCAAUUACAAAAGAACUAUUUUAUUAUAUAAUCACUAAAAUAAUUAUAAGUUUAAAUUGUCAUUUAUUUAUAUAUUAGCAUUUAUAAAAAAAGUAAGAUACAAUUAUUCUUUUCUUAGUUAUAAUAAAAACUUUAAAAAAUAUGGCAUUUUAUUUAAUAAGUUGCUUCUAAAAUAAUCCCAUACUUGUUUUAAAAGCUAUUGUCAAAAUAGAGAAAAUAUAAAUUAACUUUUAACAAAUUUACCAAACAUUAUUUUUAUCAAAACUUUAAAAUAAACUGUUUAUAGUAUUUCAACUGUAAUCCCAAAUAGGACAUUAGUCUUUGUUCAAAAUAAGGUUAGACAUUGAAUAUGUGUACACGUAUAAACGAAAAUAUCUAGACUGAAGAAACAUCUCGACUUAAUAAGUCUGCUUCAUUCUUUUUUUUCCACAGCAUAUGUCAAGAGUAAGUUCAAAAUCAUUGCUGACUAGGGGAAGAAGUCUUCAAAGUCAAGGUGAUUAGAUUAGCAGGUCACGAAAUUAUGUAUCGGAGGGGUUCCCUGCCCUCAACUUAAAAAGAUGCCUUAAAAUUAAAUAUUAAAUAAUAUGGCAUUUAUUAAAUUUAAAAAAUAUAAAAAAAUUAAAAGAAAACCUUUUUUUAAGUAAUGUUUGACUAAUGAUUUUGCGUAUCGACUUUGAAUGACCAUGAUAGUAUUUUAAAGAUAAGAAAAGUGGAUUCAAAUGUGGUAUGAUUUAAAAAUAUGGUUAAGAGGUAUGUGAAUAUGAGUAUAAUGAUUGUUUUUGAAAUCAUUAGACAAUACCCUUCCCUCCAGAUACAGUGAUACAGAUAAUAUGAGAUGAGAGGCCAUUGGGGCCCGUCUGAACACACAUAGAGGCUUUGGGCCGUGUGUUUGGGCGCUUUUGCCUUUUGGGGGCAUAUGCAUGCGGUAUGAUGAUUACAGAGAUACAGAUAUGAGAUACAGACAUAUAUUGAGAUACGGAUGAUACAGAUAUGAGAUACAGACAUAUAUUGAGAUACAGAUGAUACAGAUGAGAUACAGGCCUUUGGGGCCCGUCUGAGUACACACAUAGGCCUUGGGCCGUGUGCUUGGGCGUUUUUGUCCUUUGGGGACCAGAUUAUGCAUGCACAGAUAUGAUGAGAUAUGAGAUGGUAUUUUCCUGUCUAUCCGUGUAGCUCCGGGGCGUGACGUUACCCAGAUAGUACGUCAUUGCCCGUCCGUUGAGGUCCGGAUAUGACGAGAUUAUUUCCCUAGGUACUUGUUUGAUGAUGAUUUUCAGAUUUGUGAAUUAUAUAUGAUAUUGUGAUAUGAUUUCCAUGGUUAGUAAUCUGAUUUAAAUGUUUAAUGAUUUAUUUAUGGUUUCUCGCUUAUGGUUUAAUGAAAGCGUGCUUGGAAAUGGUAUGAUGAUUUCUUUUAAAGUAAGAAUUAAUUUUCAAAACUACUAUCCACUCACUGAUCUCACUGAGUUUUAGACUCAUCCCGUUUUUAUUAUAUUUUCCCCCCCUCACCAGGAGGUUGCAGGUACACCAGACCGACCCAGCGACUGUAAAUAUAUUUUGAGUCUUGGCCACGUGAUGAUGUUAGAAGAUAUAACUGUUUUUAUUAGGACAUCUUGGUUAUCUCGUCCUGGUGGGAUUGUAUAAUUUUUGUUAUAUUAUUCUUUUGGGAUUAAGAAUUGAGAUAUUAAUAUUAGUUAUAAUGUUAUCUUUUGAGACUCUAGAGAUAUAAAACUCAGCAUUUUGGUUGAGGAUGUUGACCACUGGAAUUUGUUGUAUAUUGAAUUGUAUUGGGAGUGUUAUAUUCAUAUUUGUAGAUUGGGAGUGUUAUAUAUAUAAAUGAGACUCUAACGAAUUUUCGGCAGAAUCGAAUUAUUAUCAAGUCCGUUUUGAUGAGACUAGAUAGACUUGCCUGGGGGGAUUCGGGGCGGGUCGUUUCACGUCCACUUGGAUCUAUCUGAUAAUCACCUCCUAGGACAUAUCCCUCCAACUCUUGGUCGUCUAAGCAAAUUGAAAAUUUUGAACUUGUCUUUUAACUCCCUUGUCGGUAAUAUCCCAUCCAAUGUAGGUCAUCUAACCCAGCUAACUACUUUGGCUGUUGCCUCAAACCGAAUGAAUGGUUCCAUCCCAUUAGGAAUCGGGAGUUUGAAGGUUCUUCAAGUUCUUGACCUGUCCAUAAAUGAAAUUGGAGGUUCAAUUCCUUCAACACUUUAAAGUGGUUGAGAAGUGUAGACUUGUCCCAAAACAAACUUGUUGGCCCAAUCCCUUCGUCUCUAGGUCAUUUGACUCAGCUAACUACUUUGAAUAUGUACAACAACAAACUUGAUGGGCUAAUUCCUCCAGAACUCAUGAAUUGCUCAAAGUUGAGGAUAUUAAAAUUGGGAAACAACUUGUUAAGCGGAAGCAUUCCGUCACAGAUCGGCAAACUUCAAGAACUAUAUUAUCUUGAUCUAAGCGGUAACUUCAUUAAUGGUAAAAUACCUUCCCAACUUGGAGAAUUUCCACUCAUAAACACCAUGGACCUUUCCAUGAAUAACCUUUCCUGUGGAAUCCCUGUAUUUAUCAGAAAAGUGCCACACUUAGAUGUGUCAGGCAAUAAAUUCGGAGUAGAAAUCCCAACUACUUUGGUAAAUGCGCCACCGCCACAUCACAAAAAGAUUGCCACUCGCUUGGUUGCAAUUAUUCUUGCUAUAGUCGCAUUCCCUGCCUUGAUAUUUGGAAUCUUGAUUAUCCGUAGACAAAGGGAUAAAGAAGUUGAACCAGCUGGGACAGGAGAAAUUACCAAGUGCGCUGAUGAGUUUGCAAUUUGGAAUUACGAUGGUAGAAUUACAUUUCAAGACAUGAUUGACGCCACUGAGGAUUUCGAUAUCAAAUACUGCAUUGGAACGGGAGGCUACAGCAGCGUUUACAGGGCACGACUGCCCAGUGGAAAAGUAGUUGCUUUGAAGAAGAUUCACCGUUCAGAAACUGAGGAGUUAGCUUCCCUGGAGAGUUUCCGGAAUGAGGCUCGUCUACUGUCCCAAAUACGGCAUCGAAAUAUCGUAAAGCUUUACGGCUUUUGUUUGCACGAGAAAUGCAUGUUCUUAAUCUAUGAGUACAUGGAAAUGGGAAGCUUGUUCUGUGCUCUACGCACAGAUGAGGAAGCUGUUGGGUUGGAUUGGACUAAAAGGGUGAACAUUGUGAAGGGUAUGGCUCAUGCUUUGUCAUACUUGCAUCAUCACUGCACACCACCAAUUGUUCACCGGGACAUAUUAAGCAACAACAUUCUACUCAACUCAGAAUUAGAAGCAUUUGUUGUGGACUUUGGCAUUGCUAGAUUGUUAAAUUUCGACUCAUCCAACCGAACUAUGUUAGCUGGCACUUUCGGAUAAAUUGCUCCAGGUCCUCCUCUAGCUAUUCCUCUUAUGCUUCUUUAAUUAUCCUCUUAAUUAAUUUUUAUUUGUACUCUGCCAAGUAGUUUUUAAGCAGCUUUAUUUAGGUCGCUACUUGGUUCGAAUUUUGAAAAAGCUAAGGGGCUAAAAAUAAAUUUGACUUUGCCUACCCCUUUACUUUUAAAACACACACACUCUGAACAUAAGUUAAAACAUAAGUUUCUUUGUCAUAACUUGCUGCGGAAGCUAAAAAACAUGAACAAAUUGUUCUUGUUAUUAUUUAUGGAAACAUUACUAAUGAAGGCCUUUGUUUCCUAUAGAACUUGCCUACACCAUGGUUGUGACAGAGAAAUGUGAUGUUUAUAGUUUUGGAGUGGUGGCACUAGAAGUACUAAUGGGAAGGCAUCCAGAAGCGCUCCUCUCAUCGUCAUCUUCAUCAUUGGAUAAAAAUAUAAAGCUGAUUGAUUUGCUGGACCCCCGCCUCUCACCUCCGGUGGAUCAAAAGAUUAGGCAGGAUAUCAUUCUUGUUUCAACAGUAGCAUUUUCAUGCUUGCGUUCGCAACCAAAGUCUCGACCUACAAUGCAACUCGUGUCCAACGAAUUUAUCGCUCGCAAUAAGGCACCGAUGCAGAAACCUUUUCAUGAAAUUUCAAUUUUGGAGCUUAGAAACCAAGAAAUGUAUGUGGUUGAUUAAUGUGAUUUUUCCAAUAAAGGAGACUGUUAAUUGGUUGUGAAAUUAUUAGGUAGUAGUAAUGUAGCAAAUAUUAUGUGUUCGACGAAUUGUCUGCCUUAGUAUUUUUUAAUUCCAUUCACACUACGACAUUAAUCUCCUUUGUAAAGCUAGUACUUUCGCAGUUCACUCUGAUAAAAUAUGGUUUGUCUAAUUGUCUCCAUCUCAAUGAUCUGAAUUAACCAGCAUAUUAAGGAAUUUAAGGUUGUGUCUCUACAAGUUAAAAAGGGUAAAUUGUCAUUCUAAUUAUUAGUUUGUUUUACAAAUUAUAUAUAAAAAUUUCAUUCAGAACGAAGUUAUUGAUGUCGCGUUAUUUAAUAUAUUAGUUUUUUCACUCCUUUGUAAAUAUUCACACAAACAUAUACAAUAAAAUUUUAAUUUAGCCGAUCCGAUCAAACAUCCUGGACCCACCGCUGAUGUCAUCCGAAGGUGAGGAAGCUUCUGCAGAAGUUGUGGUUAGUGAUAUUCUUGCCAGCACAAGAUAAUUAAUUACUAGGAAAGAAAUAAUAAAAAAUUUUAUUAAUUACGAAACUGAUGACUAUAUAUUAGACACACUAUAAUUUUAUGAAAACUGAAGAUUCAUACUAAUAUAAAACUAAAAGCAACAUUAAUUAUAUUAUACGAUAACAACAAAUCCAGGAUAUAUUAACAAACACGUCGAUUUUGAAGCUGAAUUUAUAAUCUAAUCUUAACUCUAUUUCUUCUGUAUUUACAUAAUCAUCCUGCUAAUUAAGGAUUUACAACUUUGCCAUGAAAGGUCGGUGGCUCCAUCUUCAAAUCUCUAAGUAGUUUUUCCUUGGCCUUGUGCUUCUUGCCUUGGAGAUGCACGUCUAGACCUCUCUCGGUAGUAGCAGUGACCUGACAGAGGGCACAACUCCACUCCUUGGGUUUGCUUGAACUCGUUGAAGGAAGCUCUCUAGAACCUGCAGGUGGUGUGCCAGCUUUCUGCUUUGAUCCACAAACACUGGUAUCAGGCUUAGGCUGGAAAUGAUACCCAAACACAGAAACCACAAUGCCUUAUAUUAGUUAUCACAUCAAUGGUAAAAAUGAAAAAUAUUUCCAGUGAACUCCAUCAUCUGCUAUUGCAGUACAGAUGAAAGAAUUUGUUUACAAAAUGAUAAUGUGCAAAUUUUAUUUUAAAUUGUGAAUUCUCAAGAAAGGUAGGAAUGUAGAAGUAUAUUCAAAUAGUUAAUACAACCAGAAUCCUUGUUUAUUAAUAACAUUUCCAGCAUUGAACUAGGAAAAUAUCUCCAUCCCAAAAAAGAAAAAAAAAAGGAAUAUGUUUGAAUAGGAUUACGAAAUACUUUCUUAAUAAGCUGGACAAGGAGAGAUGAUAUCUUAUGAGCAUUAUAAUUCAUAAUUUGAGGAAAAACCAUUUUAAUGGAGCUUCCAGCCCAUCGCACAUACACAAACACAAUCAAUAAGAUUUAACAUAAGAAAUUACCGGGAAAAAGAAACAUCACAAAUCAAUCUGUACAAGUUCAUGUGACACUUCAUGGUAAACAUAUGUAACCUCUCUUGGAAACUUAGCUUGUGACAAGCUCACAUUUUCUCUGUGUUUUCGUUCAAAAAAGGCUUCAGACACACAUUAAUUCCAGGCUGUGGAGGAUCAUAUGUCCUCAUUGCCCAAAUUUUUAAAGCCACAUACAUUGGCAUUUGCACGCAUGGUCAAUGAGUUACACAACUCUGUUGUCUACUUGAGUUGACCAAGCAAACUGAAUUUGUGAACUUUGACCGACAUAAAUAACCCAAUGCUAACAUGUUUGGAAUUAAAUCAAGAUUGUGAGUCCAAAUGUACUCCCCGACAAACUUGUCACCUGUGCAUCAAGACAAAGUCUUAUAGCACUAAGAAUGAACAUGUGAACCUCUAAGCAACAACCUCCUAAUAACAUAAAAAUCAAGGUUGGUGUGGGAUAAAGCCAUUCAAAUGGACAUGUAAAGGGUAACUUUGAUGAAUAAGGGUUUAAGAGAAACAAUCUUAUCACAGAGUAUUUCAAUUGGAGCGGAUGAAGAAACUAACAUGAAACAAACUCACUUAUCUCUAUUUAUUUUUCAAUUUUCAUAGAUCCAAAAUCUAAAAUUAUCAUUUUGAGCUACCCUCAAUUAGUAAGCACUGCAUUGUCACUGCUUUCUUCUGAAAUUUUCCAUCAGCAGAAAAUCUCUAACAAAUCAAAACAAGACUUACCAAGUUUCAUAAGUAUCAAAACAAAAACGAGCAAAGGUCCACAGGGAAGUUCUAGAAUGAAAAAUACUAAUGACGUUGUUACAGUGAAUCUCAGGGUCCAUUUUUCGUGAGGUUAAUGAUUGCAUUCUGGGUUGUGUUGCUAUCAGUCUUUAGUGUUCAUUCAUCUUUUUAUGGUAAGUUGCAUGCAUUUGUUUUGUCUUCAGAGGUUAUGGUGUCAAAUUGAGCGGACACACGUUUGGCUUAUAGAUGAUAUGACCCUGAAACUAUGUCGCAGCUGUUGCUUGUUUUCAGCAUUCUAAUCAUUCACCAACUUGGGAUCUUCAAGUCCGUUGGUGGAAUUAUUUGCACCAUCCAAGUCUUGACGUGCACCCCUUGAUUAUACUCGGUGGGAUAAAUUUUGCACUUAUUUAAAAAAAAUAAAUAAAUAAAGAAUCCCCUGUGGGGAAGUCAAAAUGCAAACACGAAUUGAUUAGUGAAGAGGACACAGUAAUUUGACACGAUAAUUAAUCAUCUCGUUAUGAUGUGUUAGUGUCUAAUUCACAAAUUCGGGUAAUAACCGUCUUAUGAAGUGUCUAAUUUUAUUGCUCCGUUAAUAAAGUGUACUUGGGCUAGCUACGUUACCCCAGCGGUUGGAUUUCCAUUGCUUCCAAUGAGUCAAUACAAAGGCUUAUAGCAUUAGCAUGAUUAACAUAUAUUGCAGCAUCGUAAACAAUGAUUGGAAUCCUGAGAUCUUUGGUAACAUGAUUAUAGACAAUUACGACCAUGUUUGGAUAGCUUAGUUUAAAAAUUACAACAUUAAAAUAUCAGGUAAAUAUUAGUUGUUGUAACUAAAAAAAAUUAUUAUAUUUUUUAUUUUACACUUAUAUGAUAAAAAAUUUAUUUUUUUUAUUGAUUUUGUCAAAAUUAUUAUUUAAAAAUUAUAUAUUCACUGCAUACUAAAUUAAGUUAAUUACUAGGAAAUAAUUAAUUACAAGUUAAUUAAAUUAGAAAUAUGUGUCCAACCAUUAAAACUACGUAUAUCAAGUUAGUUAAUUACUAAGGAAAGAAUUAAUAACAAAUUUUCAUCGCUACGUAUUUAAUUACGAAACUGAUAACUAUAUAUUAGAAAAACUAUAAUUUUAUGAAAACUAAAGAUCAUUACUAAUAUAAAACUAAAACCAACAAUAAUUAUAUGAUAGGAUAACAACAAAUCCAGAAUAGAUUAACAAACACGUCGAUUCUGAAGCUGAAUUUAUAACCGAAUCUUAAUUCUAUUUCUUCUGUAUUUACAUAAUCAUCCUGCUAAUUAAAGAUUUACAACUUUGCCGUGGAAGGUCGGUGGCUUCCAUGCCUUUUUUCUUCUUCUCCUCACAAAUUUUGCUUUUGCUUCCACUUUACCAUUAAAGAACAUCCCAAAGCUUGGUGUUGUGCGUGGAAGGACUAUUUUUCUAAACCCUAGUAAAAAAAUAUCAACUUCAGAACCAGAGGGUGAUCUCGAAACUUAAUAUUAUGAUCAAAUACUUGAUCACUUUAACUAUUAUCCACAAAGUUAUUUAACUUUUCCUCAUAGAUAUGCGUUGAACUUCAAGCAUUGGGGCGGUGGCAGACCCAUGGCGGCGCCGAUAUUGGCAUAUCUUGGUGAAGAGAGUAGUCUUAAUAUGAUGACCUUGGUGGCAUUGGAUGGCUUACUGAUAAUGCUCAUCGAUUUAAAGCCUUACAAGUUUACAUAGAGGUAAGUAAAGAAUUUGUUAUCAGGCUAGCUUGAUAAUAAUUGAAAUAGAGUUCGCAUACGAAAUAAUAAUAAUAAAGACAAAUCCUAAUCAGAAUAUUCUACAAUAUGAACUAAAAAGUUGUGAUGGAUUUUUUUUUAAUUCAAUUUUUUAUGCAGUAUCGGUUCUAUGGAAAAUCAGUACCUUUUGUAUCAAGCAAAGAUGCCCUAAAGAAUGCAACUCUUCGUGGAUAUUUCAACUCUGGUCAAGCUUUGGCACAUUAUGCAAAGAUUCUCUUACACAUCAAGGAAAAUUUAUCGGCCGAAAUGUCUCCCAUUAUCGUUGUUGGAGCAUCUUAUAGAGGAAGUAAAUUUUAAUAUUAUUAACUUACUUACAUCUUUUGAUUAAUGUCGUGUCAUUUGUUGCAUCAUUUUAUUCAUUUUGAUCUCGUUUGACCAAAAUAUUGAUUACGCCAAUAUUAUUUUGAUACAAAUUUAUUUUGCAUUCCAAUUAAUGAAUACUUUCAGCGAUCGUAAAAUUAAGAAAUAGUAAACAUAUUUAAGAUAAUUACGUUUUUAAAAAUAACCAUCUCAAUUCAUCCUAUUUUAUCAGAUCUGGGUAGGGAUGGCAAUGGGGUGGGGUGGGGGUGGGGAGGCCUACCUCAUUCCCCACCCCAUUCCCCAAUAAAUUUAGUGGGGUGGGGAUGGAGAAUCCCCAUGUGGGGAAUGAUUUCCCCAUCCCCACCCCAUUCCCCAUUUAUCUAUUUUAUAAUAUGUAUAAAUAUAUUAUUUUAGUAAGUUAAAAAUUAGAGACUUAAAAUAAAAUCAUCAUCAUAUUAUAAAGUAUUUAAAUUCUUUUAAAAAAAUAUCUAAAAAUUUGAAACAAUAUCUUAAAAUGAUAUUAAAAGUGAAAAAUAUUUAAAGAGCGUAACACCUUAAAAGAGAAAAGAAAAUAUAACAAUGUUUCAGAGUUGAAAAAUAUUAUAGGAUUUUCUUUCAUUCAUAUCUUGUUUAUGUUGCAUAAAAAUUAAAAAAAAUUAUUAAUUGACAUUAUAAUUGAUAAAAUAAAAAUUAUUAAAUAAGAAUUAAAAAUAUAUUUAUAUAUAAUGGGGAUUGGGAUUGGGGUGGGGGUGGGGUGGGGAGUAUAAAACCAAACCCCACCCCAUUAAGAAUUUGGGGAUUAUUUUCUCCCCACUCCCCACCCCAUUCCCCAAAAAUUAUUCAAAAUUUUUUCCAUUUGGGGUGGGGCUCCAUAGGACCCCAAACCCGUGGAGAAUUUUGCCAUCCCUAGAUCUGGGAUGUGAUAUGGUUUUGAGAGUUACUCAUUUGUGGGUUUGUUAUCACCAGUGCUUGCAGCAUGGUUUCGCUUUCCUCACAGUGCUUUGGGAGCAGUUGCCUCGUCCGCCCCAAUUAUCUAGUUUGAUAAUAUCACACCCUCAAACGCAUAUUAUGAUCUUGUCACCAAUGACUUUAGGGUAAGAAAUAAAAUUAAUUAAUUAAAAUUCUAUAUAUGUAUGAUUGUGUUUUCUUGUUAAAAUUUAACCAUUAAAUUUUGAAAAUUAAUGAUGCAAGAAGCCAGGGAGAGCUGCUACAUGACCAUCAAACAGUCCUGGGCUGAAAUGGAUAAAACCGCUGCUAGAAAAAAUGGACUUGCUUCUCUCUCUAAAAAGUUCAAAACCUGCAAGAAAUUAAUCAUAUUACUUUACAUAACUGCUUAUAUAUAUCCAUCCGAUUUUCCCUUAAGUACAAUUAAUGCAAUGUUAUUGUAGCAUCAUUAUCGAAUGUACUAUGUCUAAUUAAUUAUCUGACAUUCUCAGAGUAUAUAUACAUUUCGAUUAACGUGUAAUAUACAAAGUAAAAAUCUGGAUUUGGGCUUAUACACGGCCUUUGCAUUACCCCAUAUAUAGUAUACUGGUGCUUCGAUUCAGCCCUCCAGAGGUUCGUAUUUUACAGAAUCUAAAUUUGAACUACAAAACCACGCACAACUCUGAUUAUCAAAUAAGGCCAAAUUUGUACGUUUGCAUUUGAUAAUAUCAAUAGCUUCAUACUUAUAAAGUUUAUUGUAAUCUAACUAAAUAUAACAACAUUUUUUAGACGGCAUGUUGAAAGAUCUUUUAUAAUGUUACUAACCUUGUGGCACUUAAUUCUAUGUUGUUGUUGUUGUUUAUUUGAUUACAAGCCUCUGAAGGAUGUUUCAGAAUUGAAGGAUUAUUUAGAGUGUAUGUAUACGGGUGCAGCUCAGUAUGAUGAUCCUCAGGAAUAUCCAGUGAACAAAGCUUGUGAAGGUAUCGAUGGAGCUUCAGAAGGCACGGAUACCCUAGGCUGGAUAUUCUCAGGAAUUGUUGCUUUAAGAGGGGAGAAUUCUUGCCAUGAUGUUGAUGAAUUCUUAUCCGAUGAAACACUAGACUCGAGCUGGGGCUGGCAGGUAUGUGAUUACGGGUGACAUGAUUUCAUUAGAUACUUCUAUUGAGAUCGUCAAACAAACAACAUGUUGCGAUGAAUGAAUCUCUCACCUAACAAUACCUAUUUUAUGUACAUCUCUUAAUUUUAUUUAUGAGACUACAUAUUUAUGAAUGAUUAAAAAUAGUUUUCUCCUUUAUUUAGUUAUUUAUUUAUUAUGAUUCUUUUUUUGUUUUGGGAGGGGCGGGGAGGGGGGGGGUUUCUCAUGCAGACAUGCAGUGAAAUGGUCUCAUCGAUUGGAAUUGACAAAAAUAAUACAAUUUUCAAGCAGACGAUAGAAUAUAUGAAUUCAUGCAAUAAGUCUUAUGGAGUGGCUACAAUACCACAUUGGAUUACAACUUAUUACGGCAGUCAUGUAAGUGUCAAUUAAUCCCCAAAUUAAUUCUUUUAAUAAUUUAAUUUUUUUCAUUUUCUUUUUUAAUUAUAAAUUUUAUCUCAAUUUUUGUUCGAUUUUUAUUUCUUUUUAAUUUGCAUGGUAUAAGAGUGGUUGUAAAGAGAUUUGGUAGCAACCUUAUUUUCUCUAAUGGCUUUCGUGAUCCCUAUAGCAGCGCUGGGUAAUUAAGCUUAAGAAUUUUGGACAUUCUUUUCUAUCAAAGUUACCUAUUUAAUUAUAUACCUUUUUCUUUUUCUUUUGUUUUUUUUUUUUUUUUUGAGAUUACAGUGUUCUGGAAGAUAUAUCAGAUAGCAUAAUAGCAGUGAUAACAAAAAAUGGUAUGUAAAUGUUUCUGUAAAAUAAAAAAAUUAGUGUUCAAUUGUUUGAGGGAAAUACUCCGACGAGACCAGACGUGAUGAGCAGAUGUUUGGUGGCAGAAGUCUGCGAGCAGGUGUGUCCUGUAAGAGCCAGGUAGCAGGGGAACAGGGGCAGGAAUAUCCUGCUCAUCCACGAGCACGUCAUCCGCGAGGCCAAUUUCCUGUAAGAAGCAUAAAGCCAUUCCUGCUGUAUUCUUGCUAAGGGUUGAUUCGAGGAGACCCGGUCAAUGACAGUUGGCGAGGCAUGCUCUCCAGCCCGAGAAUCUAGGCACGAAGGCCACGCAACCACCCACGACUACGGAAAUGGGGAAUCCACGUUCGAGAGGUGGGAGGAUAACGGGCGUAGACUGCGAAAAACUGGGAUUCAGAGGAAGCCUAUAAAAAGGUAGCCAAUGAAGGUAAAGGGGUUAGCAAUUUUGAGAUUAGAAGGGAGAUAAAGAAAUUCUAAAGAAGAGAAAACUACCCAAAAGCCAUAAGAUCUGUGACAAGCGUUCCCCGAACCUUAAUAUCUGACUUGAGCGUCAGAGGGUUUGCACCGGGAAAACAACCGGCGUACUCUGACUUGUCUGUGUGUGCAGGAACCUCUGGAGAAGAAGCUUUACGAGGAGAGAUCCUGGUCGUGGUGAAGUUGAUCGAGCAGAGACCCUGGUCGUAGAACGAGGAGAACCAGAAUCUCGCAUCAACAUUUUGGCACCGUCUGUGGGGAGCUGAUCAAAAAGCUUAUGUUGAUAGCAAGAAGAGGAGUGAAGUAAGUGAAAAGCGAUGGAAACAGGGGAAGCAAUGCAGAUAACAUCCCUCGAUACCCGAGUGGAAAACAAGAAUGGCAGACAAGAACCUGUAGAGGAUCUGGAAACUGUAAGCCUAGGACCAGAGAAUCCGGGAAAGACAAUCAGAAUCGGGUCGAGACUUAAGGGAGAGCAAAAGCAGGAGUUGGUGAAAUGCUUACAGGCUCAUGCAGAUGUGUUUGCUUGGACACAUGAAGACAUGCCAGGGAUUGACCCUGAGGUAGCAUGUCAUAAGCUGGCAGUAAAGAAAGGUGCUCGGACAGUAAGGUAGAAGAGGAGGUGCUUCAACCAGGAGAGGUAUGAGGCUAUAAAUGGCGAGGUGGAGAAGCUCUUGAGAGCAGGGUUCAUUCGGGAAGUCAAUUACCCUGAAUGGAUAUCGAAUGUGGUGUUGGUAAAGAAAGCGAAUGGCAAGUGGAGGAUGUGUGUGGAUUUCACAGACCUCAAUAAGGCGUGCCCAAAGGACAGCUUCCCUUUGCCAAAGAUCGAUCAGCUAGUAGAUUCAACGGCUGGACACGCUCUGCCUAGCUUCAUGGACGCGUUCUCGGGAUACAACCAGAUCCCCAUGUACGAGCAGGACGAGGAGAGCACGGCUUUCAUCACUAACCAGGGUUUGUUCUAUUACAGGGUAAUGCCAUUUGGUCUCAAAAAUACUGGGGCCACCUAUCAGAGGAUGGUGAACAAAGUCUUUAAGCCGUUGAUUGGGAAAACCAUGGAGGUGUACGUGGAUGACAUGAUCACCAAGUCCAAAAUCCCGAAGGAACAUGUCAGACACCUCGAGGAGACAUUUGAGCUUUUGAGGAAGUAUAAGAUGAAGCUCAACCCGGAGAAAUGUGCUUUUGGGGUCGAGUCGGGGAAGUUCCUUGGAUUCAUGGUGAGUCAUCGGGGGAUCGAAGCAAAUCCCGAGAAGAUCUAGGCGAUCGUGCAGAUGAGGUCUCCUCGUAGCCUGAAGGAAAUACAAAGCCUUACGGGGAGAUUGGCGGCAUUAAGCCGGUUCAUAUCCAAGGCUACAGAUAAGUGUCAACCAUUCUUUCAAGUGAUAAGGAGGGGAAAGAAAACAGAGUGGACCCCGGAAUGCGAGGAAGCCUUUCAGAACUUGAAGCAGUAUUUACAGCAAGCCCCUCUGCUAUCCACACCGAGGGAUGGGGACAAGUUAUUUUUGUAUCUGGCGAUAUCGGAUCGGGCCGCCAGUUCUGUUCUGGUGAGAGAGGAAGAAGGAGUUCAGUAUCCACUAUACUACACCAGCAAGGCCCUGCUCGACGCUGAGACCAGAUACCCACCGUUGGAGAAAUGGGCACUUGCCCUUGUGGUUGCUGCUCGGAAGUUGAGGCCAUAUUUUCAGGCAUUCCCAGUCUCGGUUAUAACAAACCAGCCAUUGCGUCAAACUCUGCACAAGCCCGAUGCUUCUGGUUGGCUCGUCAAGUGGGCUAUAGAGCUGAGCGAGUUCGACAUAGACUACAAACCCCGAGCAGCGAUAAGGGCUCAAGCAAUGGCCAAUUUCGUAGCAGAAUUCACAGAGCCUGAAGUAUGUUUAGACCAACAAGAUGUAGUUGCAGACAAUGGCGAAGCUCAAGUAUGGCAAAUGUCUGUAGAUGGGUCAUCAGGGGAGCAGGGAUUGUAUUGGAAGGCCCGGAGGGGGAGGAGAUCUCUUAUGCUGUAAAGUUAGAAUUCACAGCAACAAAUAACCAGGCAGAGUAUGAAGCCUUGAUAGCAGGAUUGGAACUGGCUAAGGCCGUGAGAGCAGAUAGAGUGAAGAUCAGAACUGAUUCCCAGCUGGUUGCGAAUCAUGUCAGUGAAAGAUUCCAACCAAGAGAGAAGAAGAUGGAGCAGUACUUGAAGAUAGUCAGGCAGAUGAUGGGAAAAUUCGAAGCGGUGGAAGUAGUACAAAUCCCAAGGGAGCAGAAUAGUCGAGCCGAUAUUUUGGCCAGGAUGGCAGCGGUAGCAGACCCAAAAAUGCCAAAGUCGAUCCCUCUAGAGGUGAAGUCCAGCCCGAGCAUCGAGCCGAAUUCAGGGGUACUGCGGAUAGAACAAAAAUGCUCGUGGAUGGACCCGAUAGUUUCAUACCUUAGAGACGGGGUAUUACCACCAGAUAAGCUGCGAGCUCGGAAGAUUAGAGCCCAGGCCUCGAGAUACACGAUGAUUGAUGGGAUACUGUAUCGGCGAGGAUAUACACUACCUUUCCUUCGAUGUUUGGAUGAGGACGACGCGGAUUACGUCCUGAGAGAAGUACAUGAAGGAAUUUGCGGGAAUCAUUCUGGUGGGAGAUCCCUGGCCCACAAGGUUCUAAGGCAGGGAUAUUUCUGGCCGACAAUGCACCAGGAUGCACAGGAGAAGACCAAGAGCUGUGUAAGCUGCCAGAGUUUUGCAAGUUUCCCCAACCAACCACCAGAGAAGCUCACCUCUAUGGCCUCCCCUUGGCCAUUUGCUCAAUGGGGAAUUGAUCUGAUCGGCCCGCUGCCAAAGGGACGAGGAGCAGCAACGCAUGCAAUAGUUGCUAUAGAUUACUUCACGAAGUGGAUAGAGGUCGAAGCCCUUAGUAGGAUUACAGAGAAGAAAACGACAGACUUUGUGUGGAGAAACCUGGUCUGUCGAUACGGGAUCCCUUAUGCCUUGGUAACGGAUAAUGGCAGGCAGUUCGAUAAUCACAGCUUCAGGGAUUUCUGCCAGAACCUCGGGAUAGAGCUGAAGUAUUGCUCGCCUGCUCACCCUCAAUCGAAUGGACAAGUAGAAGCAGCCAACAAGACCAUCAAGAGACUUUUGAAAACCAGGCUUGGAGCAAAAAAUGGUACAUGGGUUGAUGAGCUGUCAGGUGUCCUAUGGGCAUACAGGACAACCCACAAAACAGCAACUGGGGAGACACCGUUCGCCCUGGCUUUCGGACAUGAAGCGGUCGUACCAGCUGAGAUAGGAACGACCACGCACCGGACAGACCAUUUCAAUGAGCAGGAGAACGACGAGCAGAUGUGUUUGAAUAUUGAUCUGCUAACGAAGAAGAGGGAGCAAGCAGCUGGUCGAUCAGCCAUUUACCAGCAAAGGGUUGCUCGUUAUUAUAACCAGAAGGUGAAUGUACGGCAAUUCAAGGUCGGAGACUGGGUACUGAGAAGAGUGAAUCAGAGCACCAAAGAUUCGACUCAAGGAGUGCUGGGACCGAAUUGGGAAGGGCCAUAUAGAGUCAAGCAGAUAGUGGGACCCGGAGCUUACAAGCUGGUUCGCACAGACGGCCACGAGGUGAAACGCCCAUGGAACGCAGCACACCUCCGAAAAUACUUCCAGUAAGACUUGUUCACAUUUGAAAGCUAUUUCUGCUCGUGUUCAUUAUCGUUUAUCUUUUAUGUUUUAUAUCCAAACAAUUUCAUGUAAGUCGAAUCCUGCCAUUAAUGGAACGUCGAGGAAUUUCAUUCGCUUGAAACUGUGAAAAUUUCCUAAGGCAUGCAAAGGCUCGUCAAGUCUCAAAGCCUGUUUAUGGCGAGACCAGAAGCCAAGCGUGCCAAGAUCUGCUCGGCCACGAGAAGGCGAGCAAAAUCCCAAGCUUUGAAGAAAUUGCCUAAGGCAUGCAAAGGCUCGACAAAGUCUCAAAGCCUGUUUAUGGCGAGACCAGAAGCCAAGCGUGCCAGGAUCUGCUCGGCCACGAGAAGACGAGCAGAAUCCCAAGCUUUGAAGAAAUUGCCUAAGGCAUGCAAAGGCUCGACAAAGUCUCAAAGCCUGUUUAUGGCGAGACCAGAAGCCAAGCGUGCCAGGAUCUGCUCGGCCACGAGAAGGCGAGCAGAAUCCCAAGCUUUGAAGAAAUUAUCUAAGGCAUGCAAAGGCUCGACAAAGUCUCAAAUCCUGUUUAUGGCGAGACCAGAAGCCAAGCGUGCCAGGAUGUGCUUGGCCACAAGAAGGCGAGCAGAAUCCCAAGCUUUGAAGAAAUUACCUAAGGCAUGCAAAGGCUCGUCAAGUCUCAAAGCCUGUUUAUGGCGAGACCAGAAGCCAAGCGUGCCAGGAUCUGCUCGGCCACGAGAAGGCGAGCAGAAUCCCAAGCUUUGAAGAAAUUACCUAAGGCAUGCAAAGGCUCGACAAAGUCUCAAAGCCUGUUUAUGGCGAGACCAGAAGCCAAGCGUGCCAGGAUCUGCUCGGCCACGAGAAGGCGAGCAGAAUCCCAAGCUUUGAAGAAAUUACCUAAGGCAUGCAAAGGCUCGACAAAGUCUCAAAGCCUGUUUAUGGCGAGACCAGAUGCCAAGCGUGCCAGGAUCUGCUCGGCCACGAGAAGGCGAGCAGAAUCCCAAGCUUUGAAGAAAUUGCCUAAGGCAUGCAAAGACUCGACAAAGUCUCAAAGCCUGUUUAUGGCGAGACCAGAAGCCAAGCGUGCCAGGAUCUGCUCGGCCACGAGAAGGCGAGCAGAAUCCCAAGCUUUGAAGAAAUUACGUAAGGCAUGCAAAGGCUCGACAAGUCUCAAAGCCUGUUUAUGGCGAGACCAGAAGCCAAGCGUGCCAAGAUUGGCUCGGCCACGAGAAGGCGAGCAGAAUCCCAAGCAUUGAAGAAUCUUCCAAGGCAUGUGGCAAAACCAUAUACCAAGCCAGAGCCUGCUCGAGCGGACGAAGACGAGCAGAUUCUCAAGCGGAAAAAUAACUCGUAAUUACAAUACAAGAGAGUAAUAAAAAACAUUUCUAUUAAUUUGUUAAUAAUUAACAAAGCAGAUAAUCUUCACAAAUAUUGUUCGUUACAAUACAAGAAACAUAUUUAAGAAGACGGUGGGUCCGCAAGCCGAGCAGCCUCAGUUAGCUGGUCCACCUCAGGUGCUGGGGGAGUAUCUCCAGUUGCGUCUGGGGGGGUACUCGCCUCACCAGCAUCAGCAGGGAUUACACCGGGAGGAGAGUUUUCCUCCUCUAUCACCAUUGGUGCCACCUCUUCGGCAUCCUCCUUUGCAGCCUCCUCGUCCAUAUGUUGGGCGACACCAGCUGCAAGGUCGUCCGUCUUUAGAUCAGGAUGCUGCUUCCCGAGGACGGCCAUGAUGCAACGAUAAGAAUGCCGAAGUCCCUAGUCGUACUGGUUGUCGGCCUCCUUUUCCAAGUUCUCGACCCGAGCUCGGUGGGAAUCGCGAAGAGAUUCGAGCUGAGCCUCAUACAUAGCCUUCUGCCUUUGAAGAUCCUCCUUGACCUUGGCCAGCUCUUCCUCGAGAGUAAUAGCCUUGGCUUGAGCAAGAGAUUCUCGCUCAAUCAACUUCAGAUUCUCGAGGUUUAAGUCCCCUGCUUUCUUCUCAGCAACGUCAGCUCUGGUCGUCGCCGACUGAAUGUCCUCCUUCAUCUUCCUAUCAUAACGGCCAACCUUGGCCUUAUAGUAGGUGGUCAUGCAGCUGAGAUGGAAAGCGCUAUACUGCAUGGCCCCCACCAGCUCGCCUAAGGUGCAGCCAUCAAAGUCCUCGAGGUCCUCCUUGCUCACAAGUUUGGAAAGCUCGUUGAGAUAGGGGGCCAAGUGUUCUGCUCAGCUGUCAGGUAAACGAGAUCUAUGCCCGACAGGAGGCGAAGAGGAAGCAGGAUCAGUGGCUGCUCCACUGGUCUCGCCGAGUUUGGCAGAAGGAGGAGGUAAAGUCUUCAACGGAGAGACCUGCUGCACGAUGUUGGCCCGCUUUGCAGUAGGGGCAUCCCUGUUCUGGUCCCUCUUCGUGGUUUGGGGUCGAGAACGUUUCCUGUUUAGAGCCCCAAUCACGGCGUCCUCCAUCUUAUGGCCAGGAAGUACCAAGCGAGACUCAAGCAAGUUGUAAGUAGUUAGCAGUUCUCGGCUCGAGCAGGAAUUGGCGAGUACAGCCUCGACCCAUUUGAGCUGGUUAGGUUGGAGCGGGAAGUGAACACCCCAAGAAACUACAACACAAACAGACACUUGGUUAGAGACAAGCCAAUAAAGCAAGAACAAUUAUGGAUACAAGACAUCUAAAGCGAGCAGGCAACCUGGGACCGUGAAACGGGGUGGGACGCGACAAUCCUUCCCGUCUAUUUGUGCAACUUGACCCCAAGGACCCCCAGCAAAAAAGAAUUUCCUUUUCCAGUCCCACACAACCAAGAACCGCUAAGUUUCUACUGCUGGUCCAUUACAUUACCCAACACCAGAAACUGGGGGACCGGUGUUUGAGGGAAAUACUCCGACGAGACCAGACGUGAUGAGCAGAUGUUUGGUGGCAGAAGUCUGCGAGCAGGUGUGUCCUGUAAGAGCCAGGUAGCAGGGGAACAGGGGCAGGAAUAUCCUGCUCAUCCACGAGCACGUCAUCCGCGAGGCCAAUUUCCUGUAAGAAGCAUAAAGCCAUUCUUGCUGUAUUCUUGCUAAGGGUUGAUUCGAGGAGACCCGGUCAACGACAGUUGGCGAGGCAUGCUCUCCAGCCCGAGAAUCUAGGCACAAAGGCCACGCAACCACCCACGACUACGGAAAUGGGGAAUCCACGUUCGAGAGGUGGGAGGAUAACGGGCGUAGACUGCGAAAAACUGGGAUUCAGAGGAAGCCUAUAAAAAGGUAGCCAACGAAGGUAAAGGGGUUAGCAAUUUUGAGAUUAGAAGGGAGAUAAAGAAAUUCUAAAGAAGAGAAAACUACCCAAAAGCCAUAAGAUCUGUGGCAAGCGUUCCCCGAACCUUCAUAUCUGACUUGAGCAUCGGAGGGUUUGCGCCGGGAAAACAACCGGCGUACUCUGACUUGUCUGUGUGUGCAGGAACCUCUGGAGAAGAAGCUUUACGAGGAGAGAUCCUGGUCGUGGUGAAGUUGAUCGAGCAGAGACCCUGGUCGUAGAACGAGGAGAACCAGAAUCUCGCAUCAACAUCAAUUAUUAACUAAAUUAUUCGAUAACAUAAUUAAUAAUGUGUAAAUUAGAGCAGGUUCCCAUUGCUUAGACAUACAUCCAGCAGCAGAAGAUGAUCCAGAGUGGUUAGUAAUGCAGCGAAAGAUUGAAGUGGACAUGGUUCAUGAUUGGAUCCUUAAAUACUCUGCAGAUUUGCUUCAAAAUCAGAGCAUAAGAUUAAAUUGGGACUGCAAAAUUAGUUUUUUCUUUUUCUUCCUCUCGUCUAUCUUUCUAAUAUUUAUGGAGCAAAGAUAAAUAAUAGAGCACCUAGCUAGUUUAAGAGUUCAUUUUCAUUAUUCUUAAUCUGGGUUGUCUAAAUGUGUAGAACAAGUGUGCAGUAUUACUUAAUGUAAAGCACAUAUAAAGGGCUCAAUCUUUAUGUAAUAAUCAUAUGGUGAAUAUCAAUUCAUGUACAAUCACAUUGAAUUAACCAUUUUCUCCCUUUGAUUUAGGAGUUACUGUAUAGGUCGUUGAAGCCGGUGACAGUAAAAGAAUUUGCUCUCCAUGUACAUGUAUCUCUCAUUCUCAACCUGUUCCUAUGCUUCUACAUAAUAGCUUCUUUUGUUAAUUAUUUGACAAUCUCAUGCAAUUCCAAACAUGACUUAGAAUCAGUUUGAGAUUCCGGUGGCUAUUGAAAUAAACUACUUCUAUUAUGCGGAUAAAAUAAGCUAAUGAUUAUAAAAGUAGCUCGCUCAGUGUUUGGUAAAUUCAAUUACGAAAGAACUAUUUUAUUAUAUAAUCACUAAAAUAAUUAUAAGUUUAAAUUGUCUUUUAUUUAUAUAUUAGGAUUUAUAAAAAAAAGGUAAUAUACAAUUAUUCUUUUCUUAGUUAUAAAGAAACUUUAAAAAAUGCAUUUUAUUUAAUAAGUUGCUUCUAAAAAUAAUCCCAUACUUGUUUUAAAAGCUAUUGUCAAAAUAGAGAAAAUAUAAAUUAACUUUUAACAAAUUUACCAAACAUUAUUUUUAUCAAAACUUAUAAAAUAAAUUGUUUAUAGUAUUUCAACUGUAAUCCCAAAUACGGCAUUAGUCUUUGUUCAAAAUAAGGUUAGACAUUGAAUAUGUGUACACGUAUAAACGAAAAUAUCUAGACUGAAGAAACAUCUCGACUUAAAUAAGUCUGCUUCAUUCUUUUUUUUCCACAGCAUAUGUCAAGACGUAAGUUCCAAAUCAUUGCUGACUAGGGGAAGAAGUCUUCAAAGUCAAGGUGAUUAGAUUAGCAGGUCACGAAAUUACGUAUGGGAGGGGUUCCCUGCCCUCAACUUAAAAAGAUGCCUUAAAAUUAAAUAUUAAAUAAUAUGGCAUUUGUUAAAUUUAAAAAAUAUAAAAAAAAUUAAAAAGAAAACCUUUUUUUAAGUGCCCAGAGGUUUGAACGGCAACUAUAGGAUUGUUUCACGAUGAACUUCAAAUGUGCAAGACUAAGGCAGGCCUAUCACGAUUUGGGCCAACUUUGGUAUACUCAGGAAGGGGCACGGAAGAGGGAGCAUUUUGGUUUAUAUUUUACUCAUACACACAUGAGUAAUUAUAUACAAACCUUUCAUGCCUUCACUACCUUUUUCAUGUGGGACAAAUGUAUUUUCCUUUAAUUUUCCAAUUAUAUACAAACCUUUCAUGCCUUCACUACCUUUUUCAUGUGGGACAAAUGUAUUUUCCUUUAAUUUUCCAAUUCCAUGAAUUUACUUUCAGUUACCAUUUCUCAUUUAUCCAAGGAUCAUUUUGAUCAUAUAGAUAAAACCAUUUUGAAGUAUUUACAGAGAAAUAUUUGAAACAAUUUUAACUUUUCACUUACACCACAUAGGUCUCACUCAAAAUCACGCCUCAAAUAGCCACUUGUGCUAUAUUUCCAACACCUUCUGUCUCUUUUCCUUAUUGAUCGCAUGCAAAAAAAUUGAGUGCAAUGAAAUUUUUUAUAUUCUUUCGUCUAUGAUGUUUUUGUGUAAAAAAUAAUAAAAUUCAAAUGGAUGUUAAGUAGCCCAUGAAUUUCCAUAGUUUGUAUGUUACAAAAGGAGCUUUGUAACUAUUUUAAAAAAUAAACAGAUUAUUUUGAUUAUUUUGUCAAAUCACAGGAGUUUCUACAUGUUUUUUUAUACAAAUUAAAUUCACACAAAGAUAUGAUUAGUCUUGUUUAUUUUCCUAUUUGAGUCAUAAUUUACAACAAGAACUCUUUGAGCUUUUUAUUUAUUUUAUUAUUUUGGGUGAUAUUUAGUAUCUUAAUAAUGCUAUUAACUAUUUCUAAUAUUUUCCAUAUUAUCUUAUAUUUCUGCAAUGUUAUUCAAAUAGAUUUAUAAGCUAAAGCCAAUAAGCCAAUUGGAUAGUACUAUUGAGACCGUCAAAUAAACAACAUGUCGCAAUGAAUGAGUCUUUCGUCUAACAAUACUUAUUUUAUGUACAUCUCUAAAUUUUAUUUAUGAGAAUACAUAUUUAUAAAUGAUUAAAAAUAAUUUUCUUCUUCAUCUUAUUUAUUUAUUAUUUUUUUUUUUUAGGGAGGGGGAGUGCCAUCCAGACAUACAGUGAAAUGGUCUCACCAAUUGGAAUUGGCAAAAACGACACAAUGUUUCAAACAUACUCAUUUAAUCUGACAGAAUAUAUGAAUUCAUGCAAUAAGUCUUAUGGAGUGGUUCCCAGACCACAUUAGAUUACAACAUAUUACGGCGGUCAUGUAAGUAUUGAUUAAUCCCCAAAUUAAUUCUUUUAAUAAUUUAAUUUUUCUCAUUUUCUUUUUUAAUUAUAAAGUUUACCUCAAUUGUUGUUUGAUUUCUAUUUCUUUUUAAUUUGCAAGAUAUAAGAGUGGUUUUAAAGAGAUUUGGUAGCAACAUUAUUUUACCUAAUGGCCUUCGUGAUAUGAUCCCUAUAGCAGCGAGGGGUAAUUAAGCUUAAAAAUUUUAUACUCUUUUCUAUCGAAGUUACCCGUUUAAUUAUAUGCCUUAUUCUUUUUCUUCUCUUUUUUUUUGGUGGGGGGGGGGGGGGGGAGAUUAUAGGGUUUUGGAAGAUAUCAGACAAUAUAAUAGCAGCGACAACAAGAAACAGUAUGUAAAUUUUUCUAUAAAAUAAAAAAUAAGUGUUCAAUUAUUAACUAAAUUAAAUUAUUCGAUAACAUAAUUAAUAGUGUGUAAAGUGGAGCAGGUUCCCAUUGCUUAGACAUACAACCAGCAAUAGAAGACGACCCAUAAUGGUUAGCAGUGCACAGUGCAGCGAAAGAUUGAAGUGGACAUGCUUCAUGGUUGGAUCCUCAAAUAUUUUGCAGAUUUGCUUCAAAAUCAGAGCAUAAGAUUAAUUUGUGACUACAAAAUUAGUUUUUUUCUUUUUCUUCAUCUCCUCUAUCUUUCUAAUAUUUAUGGAGCAAAGAUAAAUAAUAAUAGUGCACCUAGCUAGUUUGGAUUUGGUUGUAAUUUUCAUAAUCCUUACUCUGAGUUGUCUAAAUGUGUAGAACAGGUGUGCAGUAUUAGUUAAUGUAAAACACUUAAGGCUCAAUCUUUAUGUAAUAAUCAUAUGGUGAAUAUCAAUUCAUAUUCAAUCAGAUGAAUUAACUAUUUCCUCCCUUCGAUUUAAGAGUUACUGUAUAGGUCCUUGAAGCCGGAGGUAGUCAAAGAUUUGCCCUCCACACACACACACACAUAUAAAAAUAUUCAAAUUCAGAAUUUUAAAAUGCGGGAACGUUUGGGAAAACGCAUAAACUGUGCAGUUUAAGUGCUUUAAGUAUUAGACCUUUAAAACCCCGCAGUUUUAAAGUUUUUCCUAAUGUUUCCCACACUUUAAGAUCCUGUACCAAAAAACUACUAUAUAUAUAUAUAUAUUAGGUGUUUAAGCUUGUAUGCUCCGUUUAUUAGUAGCCAAGCUUGCGAGUAUAUUGCUUCUGGUGAACCUCUUCCUAUUCUUCUCCUUAAUAGCUAUUUCUCUUAAUUAUUUGACAAUCUAAUGCAAUCCCAAACGUGACUUAGCAUCAAGUUUAGGAUGGCGGUUGCUGAUAAAAUAAGUUAUUUCUAUUGUGAGGACGAAAUAAGUUGAUGAUUAAAAAAGUAUCUUGUUCAUGUUUAGUAAAUUUGAUUAUGAAUGUGCUGUAUUAUUUAAUGACUAAAAUAAACAUGAGUUUAAAUUGUCUUUUAUUUAUAUAUUAGAGCUUAUAGAAAAGUAAGAUAUAAUUAUUCUUUUCUUAAAAUAUUAAGGUUAUAAUAUGAACAUUUAAAAAGAUAUAGCAACUUAUUUAAUAAGUUGCUUAUAAAAAUAAUCUCUAUUCUGUUUUUAAAAGUUACAGUCAAAAUAGAGAAAAUUAUAAAAAAAAAACAACUUUUAACAAAGCCAUCAAACUUCAUUUUUAUCUAAACUUAUAAAAUAAGCUGCUUAUAGCAUUUCAAUCACAAUCCUGGGGCAUUAAUCUUUGUGUAGAAUCAGAUUAGACAUUGAAUAUUUCUAAUUUUCUACACAUAAAUUAAAAUAUGUAGACUAGAAAAACACCUUGACUUCGUAAGUCCACUUCAUUCUUUAAUUUCCGCAGCAUAUGUCAAGACGUUAUUUUCAAAUAAUUGCCGACUAGGAGAAGUCUUAUAGUCAAGGUGAUUACAUGAGCGUGUUAUGGAAUCGUAGUGGUUCCCUGCCCUCAACUAAAAAAGUGGCCUUCAAAAUUAAAUAUUAAAUAAUGUGGCAUUAUUAAUGUUAUAUAUAUAUAUAUAUAUAUGUGUGUGUGUGUGUGUCUGUGAGUGUGUAUAUAUGUAUAUAUAAUAUUAUAUAUAUAUAUAUAUUAGGUUUCAUGUUUUGCACGGGUUCGAACGGCAGUUGUAAUAUUAAAUAAUAUGGCAUUAUUAAAGUUAAAAAAAUAUCUAAAGUUAAUCAUAAAAAAAUAUUUUUUUUAUAAAAAAAUAAAUAAAGAUUAAAAUGGAUGUUAGGUAGCCCGUGAGUUUCCAUAGUUUGUAUGUUACAAAAGGACUUUUGUAACUAUUUUAAAAAAAUAAAAAAAUUAUUUUGAUUAUUCUGUCAAGUCACAGUAGUGUAGACAUCCUUUCUCUAUAGUUUAUUUAUAAUAUUAAAUUUAUACAAAGAUAUGGUUAGUCUCGUUUAUUUUCCUAUGAGAGUCAUAAUUUACACCAACAAUUCUUUGAGCUUCUUUUUCUUUUUAUUAUUUUGGGUAAUAUUUAAUAUCUUAAUAAUGCUAUUAAUUAUUUCUAAUAUUUUUCAUAUUAUCUCAUGUUUCUGCAAUGUUGUUCAAAUAGAUCUACACCACACAAAUACAAGCCAAUAAGGUUAUAUCUCCAUGAUUGAAUCCAUCUAGAGAAGACCUUGACUCACACUCUUUGAAAACGCGUAUUGGAAAUUAACACCGGGAGGUUGAAAAACAAUUAAUUCUUAUAUAAACGCUUUGCUGAGAAUCAAAUGUAGCUCAAUCAACCGAAAACCAUUAUAAACAUGGCAGCAGCAUCCACUGUUUCGAGAUUGGUGGUCAUUAUAAUUUUAAUUAAUGUUGGUGCUAUAAGUGAUACGACAAUAUUUGCAAUAGCAUCAGCUGCUGGAUUAUUGUCGUCACCCAAACUGUUAGAAAGGGAAGCUUUACUUGGUACAGGCUGGUGGGUCAACAAUUGCGCGACGGGCAACUACACGUCCUAUCAUUGUAAGUGGACUGGCAUCAGUUGCAAUUCAGCGGGAAGCGUAAUCGGGGUCAGCUUACUCUGGUAUGAAAAUGAUAACAUCACAGGAGAGCUCGGUCGUUUCAAAUUCUCUUGCUUUCCGAACCUCAGAAGUUUCAAAAUUCAUUCAAAUUAUUCUAUCUCUGGAAGCAUUCCAUCCGAAAUUACUGCCCUUUCAAUGCUCCAAACUCUUGAACUGCCCUCCAACAAUCUUACCGGUAAGCUACCAAACUUCACUAUAUAUAUAUAUAUAUAUAUAUAUAUGUAUGUAUGUAUGAAGUCGUGCUCAUGCUUGAAGCAGGAGUCUGUUUUUACAACACUGAAGAAGUUUUUUUUAUGAGGAUUUCUUUAUAAAUUUUAUUUAUAUGAGGAUAGUGAAUACUGAUCUCGUUUUUCAUAAAUCACAUGCGCAACAGGAAUUGUCCCUUCAGAGAUGGGGAGAUUGAGGAAUCUUGUCCACCUGGAUCUAUCUGAUAAUUACAUCUGGGGAUAUAUCCCUCCAACUCUUGGUCGUCUAAGCAAAUUGGAAAAUUUCAACCUGUCUUCUAAUGCCCUUGAUGGUAAUAUCCCUCCAACUCUUGGUCGUGUAAGCAAAUUGAAAAUUUUGAACUUGUCUUCUAACUCUCUUGUUGGUAAUAUCCCCCCCACUCUAGGUCAUCUAACCCAUCUAACUACUUUGGCUAUUGCUUGGAACCAAAUUAAUGGUUCCAUCCCAUUAAGAAUCGGGAGUUUGAAGGCUCUUCAAGUUCUUGACUUGUCCAUAAAUGAAAUUGAAGGUUCAAUGCCUUCAACACUUGGCCAUUUAAAGAGAUUGAGAAGUUUAGACUUGUCCGGUAACAAUCUUGUUGGUCCAAUCCCUUCGUCUGUGGGUCAUUUGACUCAGCUAACAACUUUUGAUAUGCACUCAAACCGAAUCAAUGGUUCCAUCCCAUUAGAAAUCGGGAAUUUGAACUUUCUUCAAGUUCUUGAUCUGUCCAACAACAAACUUGAAGGUCCAAUUCCUUCGACCAUAGCUAGUUUAGUCAACUUAACAUCUUUGUUCCUGUGCAAUAACAAUCUAACUGGAUCUAUUCCUUCAACACUUGGUCAUUUAAACAGGUUGACAAGUUUAGACUUGUCCAGUAACAAUCUUGUUGGUCCAAUCCCUUCGUCUGUGGGUCAUUUGACUCAGCUAACAACUUUUGAUAUGCACUCAAACCGAAUCAAUGGCUCCAUCCCAUUAGAAAUCGGGAAUUUGAACUUUCUUCAAGUUCUUGAUCUGUCCGACAACAAACUUGAAGGUCCAAUUCCUUCGACCAUAGCUAGUUUAGUCAACUUAACAUCUUUGUUCCUGUGCAAUAACAAUCUAACUGGAUCUAUUCCUUCAACACUUGGUCGUUUAAACAGGUUGACAAGUUUAGACUUGUCCAGUAACAAUCUUGUUGGUCCAAUCCCUUCGUCUGUGGGUCAUUUGACUCAGCUAACAACUUUUGAUAUGCACUCAAACCGAAUCAAUGGUUCCAUCCCAUUAGAAAUCGGGAAUUUGAAACAUGUUGAAGAUGUGUACCUGUUCAACAACAAACUUGAUGGUCCAAUUCCUCCACAACUCAUGAAUUGCUCAAAGCUGAGAGCAUUAUCAUUGAGUAAAAACUUGUUAAGUGGAAGCAUCCCAUCAGAGAUUGGCAAACUUCAAGAACUAUAUUAUCUUAAUCUGAGCCAUAACUCCAUUAAUGGUAAAAUACCUUCCCAGCUUGGAGCAAUUCCAAACAUAGAUACCGUGGACCUUUGCAUGAAUAACCUCUCCGGUAGUAUCCCUGAAUCUGUCACAAAUGUGCCACACUUAGAUGUGUCAGGCAACAAUUUGGAGGUAGAAAUCCCAAGUACUUCGGCAAAAGCGCCACCACCACAUCACAAAGGCAAUGACAAAAAGAUUGCCACUCGCUUGGUUGCAAUUAUUCUCCCUAUGGUCGCAUUGCUUGCCUUGAUAUUUGGAAUCUUGUUUGUCCGUAGACGAAGGGAUAAGAGAGUUGAACCAGCUGAGACAGGAGAAAUCACCAAGUGCGCUGAUGAGUUUGCAAUUUGGAAUUACGACGGUAGAAUUACAUUUCAAGACAUGAUUGAAGCUACUGAGGAUUUCCAUAUCAAAUACUGCAUUGGAACCGGAGGCUACGGCAGCGUUUACAGAGCACGACUACCCAGUGGAAAAGUAGUUGCUUUGAAGAAGCUUCACGGUUCAGAAACUGAGGAGUUAGCUUCCCUCGAGAGUUUCCGGAAUGAGGCUCGUCUACUGUCCCAAAUACGGCAUCGAAAUAUCGUAAAGCUUUACGGGUUUUGUUUGCACAGGAAAUGUAUGUUCUUAAUCUAUGAGUACAUGGAAAUGGGAAGCUUGUUCUGUGUUCUGCGCACAGAUGAGGAAGCUGUGGGGUUGGAUUGGGCUAAAAGGGUGAACGUUGUGAAGGGCAUGGCUCAUGCUUUGUCAUACUUGCAUCAUGACUGCACACCACCAAUUGUUCACCGGGACAUAUCAAGCAACAACAUUCUACUCAACUCAGAAUUAGAAGCAUUUGUUGCCGACUUUGGCGUUGCUAGAUUGUUAAAUUUUGACUCAUCCAAUCGAACUCUAUUGGCUGGCACUCAUGGAUAUAUUGCUCCAGGUAAUCUUCUAGCCAUUCUUCUUCUGCUUCUUUAAUUAUUCUUUUAAUUAAUUUUUAUAUACACUCUGUUAAGUAAUUUUUAAGCAGUUUUAUUUAGUUAGCUAUUUAGGUUCAAAUUUUGGAAUAGGUAAGGAGCUGAAAGAUAAAUUUAAACUUUGCCUACCCGUUUAACUUUUUUUUAAAAAAAAAAAAAUUACACACAGUUUAAAUAUCAAUUAAAAACAUAUGUUUUUCUGUCAUACCUUGCUGAAGAAGCUCAAAAAUAUAAACAAAUUGCUCUUGUUAUUAUAUAGGAAAUAUCACUAAUAAAGGCUUCUGUUUUCCUAUAGAACUGGCCUACACCAUGAUUGUGACGGAGAAAUCUGAUGUUUAUAGCUUCGGAGUGGUGGCACUAGAAGUACUAAUGGGAAAGCAUCCUGGAGAGCUCCUCUCAUCGUUAUCUUCGUCAUUAGAUAAAAAUAUUAAGCUGAUUGAUUUGCUGGACCCACGCCUCUCACCUCCGGUGGAUCAAAAGAUUAGGCAGGAUAUCAUUCUUGUUUCAACAGUAGCAUUUUCAUGCUUGCGUUCUCAACCAAAGUCUCGACCUACAAUGCAACUCGUGUCCAACGAAUUUAUCGCUCGCAAUAAGACACCAAUGCAAAAACCUUUUCAUGAAAUUUCAAUUUUGGAGCUUAGAAACCAAGAAAUGUAUUUGGUUGAUUAAUGUGAUAUCUAAUUAUGGAUACGUAUAUUUAACUGUUCAUGUAUGUGAUGGGAUUGCUUCUAAUCCUAAUAGAAUUUUCCAAUAAAGGUGACUGUUAAUUAGUUCUGAAAUUAUUAUUAGGUAGUAGCAAUGUAGCGUAUAUUAUGUGUUCGACGAAUUGUCUCCCUUAGUAUUAUUAAUUCCAUUUACACGUUCACUACCUAUAUAUAUUGAAUUGCAAUUAAACAUAUGUGCAAACUACGACAUUAAUGUCUCGGGUAAAGCUAGUACUUUCGCAGUUGGUUAGUCUAAUUGUCACCCCCUCAAUGAGCUGAAUUAAACAGGAUUUUAAGGAAUUUAAAGGUUGUAUCUCUACGAGUUAAAAGGGUAAAUUGUCAUUUUAAUUAUUAGUUUAUUUUACAAAUUAUAUAUAUAUAAACUUCAUGCAGAAUGAGGUUCUUGAUGUCGCGUUAUUUAAUAUAUUAGUUUUUUCACUCCUUUGUAAAUAUUCACACAAACAUAUACAAUAAUUUAGCUGAUCCGAUCAAACAUCCUUAGUUUUUUCACUCCUUUGUAAAUAUUCACACAUAUACAAUAAUUUAGCUGAUCCGAUCAAACAUCCUGGACCCACCGCUGAUGUUAGGAAGCUUCUGCAUAAGCUGUGGUUAGUGUCUUAGUGAUAUCCCGCCAACAACCUGCCAGCAAAAGAUAAACUAAUGUCAGGUCAUGAUCAAGAAAAAUUUGCUAAUGUCAGCAGAAGAAGUCAUAACCAUGCAUAUAUGAAGCACUUUCAAAGAGUAGAUCUAACAGUGUCUGGUUUUCAUUUUUGGAGUUUUUUACCAAUGACUGGAGAGUAGAGAACAACACAUGAUCCCCGUUACAGUAUUGUUGCUUGAAUUUAUAGGCUUCAUCAAUCAGUACCUUCAAAUCCAUAUAUAAUGAGAUGGAAGAAUGAAUUUAAAUUUAUUAAUGUCAUUUCCGAGUUUUAAAAUGAUAAAGCAAGUUGCAACUGAUUCAUUGAAAUUUAAAACAUUCAUAAUGAAGUGCAAGAGCAAAAUAAAAGUUAGGAGCUUUACCUUCAGCAUAACAAGGAGUCUGCUGGAUCAGGCCCACUUUAUCUGCCGCUAUAGACCACCACCUCUUCAUCUUCAGCCUUCUCAAUAACACGGUCUCUUGUUUCUUCAUUUGAUUCUUCGACCACUACAGCUUCACCUUCAACAUUCUCAGUAGGCUCUGAUG